CCCUCUACUGGUCUCGUCAGGGGAAAAUAAAUUGUUAAAGUUCUAUUGGGACACCCUGUACAGUCGCAGUCUUGUGAUCCCGUAGGAUACACAUUUCAGUCUAACGCCCCGAGGGACGUACAUAUCAGUCUAACGCCCCGAGGGACGUACAUAUCAGUCUAACGCCCCGAGGGACGUACAUAUCAGUCUAACGCCCCGAGGGACGUUCAUAUCAGUCUAGUGUUCUGCAGAAACACAUAUCAGUCAAAUGCUCCCGAAGGUGCAAAAUAAAUUGGUGAUCCCGUGGGACACCUACAAGGUAAACAUCCCAAUACAACCUAACAAUUUAUCCCCUCAUUCCAUUCAACCCAUCUUUCAGUUACUUCAAAUCACAAAGUCCUUUCUUUCUUUCAUCCUAACAGUCAACUUAUUUUACUACAAUCAUAUGUCUGUCAAUAAAAUGCUAAUACAUCAGUCAAUCCACUAUACAGUCAAGUCAAUACACCCCUCAGUUCACCAGCACAAACCACAGUUCAGUAUAAUCCACAUCCAACCGAAACAAAUUCACUAGUUCACAUCCAAUCUUUAUACAGCACAAUCUAUUAAUAUCAUCAUGUACACAUAAGCAUAAUUUCAGUCAUUCACAUGUAUACUUUCGGCAAUCCACAUCAAUUCACACAUCAAUGUAUAUAUAUAUAUUUUUACCUUUGGGACUUUACAUUCUUCCCCCCUUAAGAAACUUUCGUCCUCGAAAGUUCUAAUCCUGAAAUAACUCUGGAUAACGAGUCCUCAUCUCUUCCUCUCGCUCCCAUGUCGCCUCUUCCAUUCGAUGGUUCCGCCACAAAACUUUUACUAAUGGAAUGCUUCUAUUACGAAGCAUCUUUACCUCUCUAGCCAGAAUUUCCACAGGUUGUUCUACAUAGGUCAAAUGCUCAUCAAUCUCCAAGGGUUCAUAGUCUACUACAUGAGAUGUAUCGGCCACAUAUUUCCUCAACAUCAAACAUGGAAACAUUAUGAACUGCAGAGAGAGAUGGUGGUAAUGCCAAGCGAUACGCCAUAACACCAACCCUCUCUAAGAUCUCAAAUGGUCCAACAAAACGAGGACUUAACUUCCCUUUCUUCUCAAAACGCAUAACACCCUUCAUAGGUGCUACCUUCAAGAAUACCUUUUCUCCCACAUCGAACUUAAGGUCUUUUCGCCGUACAUCUGCAUAACUCUUCUGUCUACUCUGCGCUGUUUGCAUACGUGCUCUAAUCUUUUGAAUAGCCUCAUUAGUAGACCGAACUAAUUCAGGUCCCAUCAAUCUAUGUUCACCAACCUCACUCCAACAAACAGGGGUUCUACAACAUUUGCCAUACAAAGCCUCAAAUGGUGCCAUACCGAUGGUAGCCUGAAAACUGUUGUUAUAAGCAAACUCCAUCAAAUGUAGAUGAGAGUCCCAACUGCCUGGAAACUCUAUAACACAAGCUCGUAGCAUAUCCUCUAAAACUUGGUUCAAACGUUCAGUUUGACCAUCAGUCUGUGGAUGAAAAGCUGUACUGAAAUCCAACCUCGUACCCAUAGCGGUCUGAAGUCCCUUCCAAAACUUGGAAGUAAACCGUGCAUCCCUAUCAGAAACAAUCGAUACAGGCACUCCAUGCAGUCUCACAAUCUCAAUCAAAUAUAAUUAUGCUCAUUUACUAGUAGUAUAAGUGGAUUUUUUUUUUUUGAAAUGAAAUGUGUCGAUUUCGUAAGCCUAUCGACAAUAACCCAAAUCACUGUGUAACCCUUCAGGGUUUUAGGCAAUUAUAUAAUAAAAUCCAUAGAUACAUUCUCCCACUUCCACUCUAAUAUACUCAAAGGUUGCAACAAACCUGUUGGUUUCUAUCUUGGUGCUUUAACCUGCUAGCACACCAAGCACUUACUAACAAGAUCUUCCAUUUCUCUCUUCAUAUUACGCUAGUAACAAACUCUUUUCAGAUCCGGAUACAUUUUUGUGCUACUUGGAUGCAUGAGAAAUGGAAAACUAUGAGUCUCAACCAAUAACCUUGUCUUAAUUGCAUUUUCUGUUGGCUCACAUAAUUCUCUCUCAAACAUAAGUUCAUCAUCAAAGGAUAUGGAAAACUCCUUAACUUGCCCUACUUCUACUAGGCAAUGCUUCUCAAUCAAAUAAGGAUCAAUGAAUUGAACCACAAGAAUUCUUUGUCUCAAGAUCGGAUGUACUGACAACUGAGCUAACUGUGAGGUGACUUCCCCCACUAAAACUACAAUCUCAGCUCUCUCGUGGUUUUUGUCUAAUGAAACCUGUCUGGUAAUAAGUGCUGUUAAAAUGUGAUACUUUUCUACGAAGAGCACCAACUUCCACAUUCGCCUUACUUAGAUGGUACAAAAUCUCACAAUCAUAGUCAUUUACUAAUUCAAACCAUCUUUGCUAUCUCAUACUCAACUUCUUUGAGUGAAGAAGUAUUUUAUACUCUUUUGGUUAGAAAAUAUCUAUAUCUUUUCAUCAUACAAAUAGUGCCUUCAAAUCAUUAAUGUAAAAACCACAACUGUCAAUUUCAUAUCAUAAGUUGGAUAAUUUUCCUCAUGACUCUUCAACUGACGAGGAGCACAAGCAACUACUUUAACUUGUUGAAUCAGAAUACCUUUUAAACUUUCCUAAAAGAAUCACUAUAAAUUACAAAACUUUCUGAACCAUCAUGUACGGUAAGCACGGGAGUUGUACAAGCUUCUACCUAAGAUCCUGAACACUAUCCUCAUAGGCCUUGUCCCAAAAAAAAAACGGAGUCCCUUUUCUUAGUUAACUGAGUCAAAGGAGUAGCUAUACGAGAAAAUUCUUAUACAAACCGUUAGUAAUAACCUGCUAAACCCAAAAGACUAUGAACCUCACUGACUAUGAAAAGUCGAGGCCAACUAGUAACAACUUCAAUCUUUUGUGAGAUCCACAUAAAUGUCACCUCUAGAUACCACAUGGCUUGGAAAGAUACUUGGCCUCAUCCAAAACUCACAUUUUGAAAACUUUGCAUACAAUUCGUUGACUCGACGAGCCUCUUAAAACCAUGUUAAAUGCUCCUCAUGCGCUGUCUCUAUUUUGGAAUAAAUUAAGAUAUCGUCAAUAAAUACAAUCAUGAAAGUGUCUAAGAGAUCGUUAAACACUUUGUUCAUCAAGUCGUAAACAUUGUUUGAGCAUUUGCCCACUCAAAAGACAUCAUAAUGAACUCGUGAUGUCCAUAUCUCGAACGAAAAUCUGCCUUAGGAAUGUCACUGUUCUCUAAUCCUCAACAAGUCAUAACCUGAAUGUAAUUCAAUCUUAAAGAACACGGACUUAUUGCAGUUGAUUAAACAAAUCCUCAUUCAUUGGUAAAAGAUAUUUAUUCUUAACCGACACCUUAUUCAACUUUCUACAAUCAAAACAUAAGUGCAUCGACCCAUCUUUCUUCUUAAUAAACAAAAAUUGGUGCACCCCAAGAUAACAUACUUCGUCAAAUGUAGUACUUGUCAAACAUUUCUUUCAAUUGCACCUUCAAAUCUUUCAACUCUGUUGGUGCCAUUUUGUAUGAAGCUUUAGAUAUAGGAACGAGUCUAACUCUAUCUCAAUAACAAGACCAAUUUCUGUUUAGCACGGUAAUCUUAGAAACUCUUCUAGAAAAAUAUCAUAAUACUUUUCACCACUGAUUCAAAUAACAAAGAAACAUCGACUUCUCUGGUGUCUACCACACUAGUCAAAUACAACAGGUACCCUGGUCAAGCAACUUACUAACCUUCAUAGUUGGGUUGUUACAGUUGGUAUCAGAGCCUAAGUUUUAGGUUCUGUAGACUGACUUACGAUGUAAGUCUAAUUUAAGAAAAGAAAAAAAAAAUGUAUAUAUAUAUAUUUUUACCUUUGGGACUUUACAUAUAACCACUAAAAUUGAAUAAUGACAAAUCAUCAAAGAGUGAAAAAUGGAAAGCCAAUAACUUCAACAAACUAAAGUUGUAAGAGUAUAUACUUUGAAAUAAAUAUUACCUGUUAACUAUAUCGUUAGAUUGUUCUUAUCUUCUUUAUAUGUUAGAGGUAUCCUCUUGAGUUGCUAGCCUUCAUAAGAUAUAUACCUUUAUUAUCUGACGUGCUCCAUUUCUAUUGGAUGCUUGCCAAUUCUCUAUGAUCAUACAUCUGAAGGCUGAAUCACAUUUUCAUCAUGUAAUCGGACUUUAGUGAUUGGAUUUGGACGUUUAAGAUCAUGCAAAAUAAGAAGCACAAAUGUAGAUAUGCAACGUAAUAUGUUUACAAUAAGAAAACUAAAACUUCUAAAUGAAUUCUGAAUCUUUAUACACCCCGAGUAUGAUGACAUGCACAAAAUUCUUCUCCUAGAUUCAAUGUAUAGAGAUGAAUAUUGUUUAUGGAUACCUUACUAUGAUUUCCUUACAAUGUACAAUCUACUUGAAGGUAGUUGAGGUUCUAAAGUACCUAAAUACACCGUUCCUACAAAUUGGAACCGAUAGUCUGUCAGAGAUAAAAAAUAUCUAAUAUAAGAACUUUUGUGGUUAGCUUUUUGAACAUCUUAACUUUUAACAAGUCAAUAAGAAAUGGAAACAAGAGCAUACCAUUACAGAAAAUCAAGCACAUUUCAGCUUUAAAAUUAUUGUAAACAUAUAUGGUUUAAUUUAAAAUUAGAAACAAUUGAAAAUCUUCUUAGGAGCAGUUACAGUAGCUCUGUGUUUGGCAGCAAUUUCCUCUGCCUUUGCCUUUAGCUUUUCUUCUCCAUGCUUUGCUUCAAUUAACAACCUUAUUUUCUUAUGUUGUUUUGUGUAUCAAUGCUAUUUUGUUCUUCAUUUUCUCUAUAUACUCACCCUUCUUCUUCUCAAAUUUUUCAUGCUCUCAUUACAAAAUCAAUCCAAAUGAAAUCGACAAAAAAGAAAAAAAAAACAUAGUUGUAAAGAGCAGUUCCGUCAAUGAAGAGAAAUAUCGAAUUACAGAUUUUGGAAUCUUCACUGAGGUUGUGAGUUUAUAUUUAAUGAAUUUUUCUAAAAUCUAGAACUAAAAUCGUAAAUAGCAUCUACAUACUAUACAAAUAAAACUUAAACACAUUACAUAUAUUUUGUUUUCUAAUUACCUCAAUUUGUUUUAGUUCAGCCUCAAGAGCUGCUUUCUUGUUGUUCUCCCAUGACCCAAUGCGUUCUAUCCAGAAAAACACAUAUAUAAAGUAAAUAAUAGCAUCAAAGGGGUUAAAUUCCAUUGAGCUCCCUAUUCAACUCUUCAGUAUCAAUCAGAAUUUUAGAAUUAUUAACCCAAGGGCUGAGAAAUAUAAAAUAAAUUUGGAAACAAAAGAAAAUUCCAUUGAGCUCAUUAAGGAGGAAGCAAAAGAUUGUAUUCUUUUGAAAUUAACUUUCUCAAAAGAAGCAACAAUCUCUUAUCACAAACUAGUAACAUAGAUUCCCCACUGCAAAUAGGAGAAAAGAACUAACAUCAACAAAGUAGAUAGAAUUUUGGACAAAGAGUAACAUAACAUGAAGUUAGGAACAUGCAGUAAACAAAAUCUCAUGAAGAUUAAGCACAUCAAUACCCACAACUAGAUCCUAAAAAAAAUAAGAAUCUGAAACUAGAUCCUGAAUAAUAGCAUAUCUUAUAAUCCAAUGAACACCAAUAAUUAUCCUACUGUGCAAACAUGGAAAUUACUUAUGUAGAUUGGAACCCACAAUUUUCAAUUUGAAAAUCUACUUCCUUGAACCAAUGAAAUCAAUUAGUUCAAAGGAGUAACAAACUACAAACAAGUUAGCAUUAAUGAACCGUAUCUACAUUAAAAUAAUAUAAAUAAAAGACAAAUUCACUCUCCCCUUUCUCUACUCCACCCCACUAAGUCUAUAUAUUUGUAAUUUACCCACUCACUCAAAACAACAUACUGAGAAAAAACGUCACUAAAGGAAAUACCUCAACAACAUUCAAGGAACAAAUCAUGAAAGAAAACCUUUUCCAAUUCCUUGCCAUAAAUCUACUAAAUAAUGCAAAUUAACUAUAAAAAAUUCAGAAAUCAAUGAAUAGGUAAUGAUAUUUUUACGAAAAUAAUAAAGAAUACUUGUUGUCAUAUAAUCUUAAAAAUUAAUGAUACGCACAGAAGAAGUAUUGAAUAACAUAAUUCAAGGCUUGUUGUGUGACUCAAACAUCCUAUAUCGGGACAAACACAAUCACACAACAUCAUUAGCAUUUCAAUACAUUCAUAAAUAAUAAUAUAUCGUUUAUCUGUUUCUUUCCUUCAUACAAUCCUAAAGAGUUUACAACUCUUUUUUUAAAUAUCUCAUUCGUCUUUUGAUAUACGCUCAUCUUGAAAAUCCCCUCUCUCCAAAAAAAAAAAAAAAGGAUUUCAUUCUCCAAUCUCUCCAUCCAUUUCCACACCCACCCUAAUAUUUAAUAUUUACAAAGAAUCUUAUUAAAAAAAAAAACUUAGCAUGUUUUUCCAAAAUGCCACUUAAACUAGUGGCAUCAUUGAUCAUUAAUCUAUCGAUUGAGAGUGACAGAAACAUCGAUAGAGAGCUCUAACAAGAGAAUAUUAACAUCACCAUGCUAACCUUUUGAGUGGCUAAGAAAAAAUUGAGAUGAAAUUCUUCAAGACUUGAACUUCUCAAUGUACUGUAACCCAACUUCGACUGAAUCUACACGUAAACAUUAAGUCAUCAGAACUUGAAUGUCAUCAACACACAAAAAAAAUUCAUGCUUCUUGUAUUCUACAAGAUACUCUUAUUACUUCAUUGGUUGUCUUCAAACAUUAUCACUUUCAAUAAAAACAACCAAAGUCCAUAAACAGAUUGUAUGUUAUUAUUGGAAAACAAAAUUGAAAACAUAGGACCAUUUUCAAACCAUUAAGCAAUCACUAUAGGACCAACCAUCAAUAAAAACAUAUUUACAAAUAUGUAAAGUAGAUCAGAUACGUCCAAAACUAAAGGACUAAAUGAGUUAACGUCCAGAAAAAAAAAUCCAGACAUGCAUAUACACACCAAAUGCUUACAAAAUCAAUAUAACAAUCUUCCAAAGUACCCUACCCAGAAUAAUAAUCUCGUGACAAAUAAGUGUCCUUAAGAGGACCAAAUUGCACAAAUAAUCCCGUAGGUCGUCUGACCUGCAAAAUACAUACCGAUGAAGAAGUUGAUCAACUUAAUAGAGAACAAAACCAAACACAAUCUCCUUUUUCCCUUUGUCUUCUCAACAAAAUAAAACGUUUCUUAGAAUUUUCCUAAUUCAAACGAACGAAAAUCAAUUAAAAAUCAACUAAAUGCUUCAUUGAGGCAUUUCAUCAAACACAUUGUAAUCAAACAUAUCGUAAGCAACCAAAAUGCUUCAUCACAUAACCAACCAUAAAGAAAAAAUGUGAUUCACAUUAGAAAAAUGAUCGUAAACAACAAUAUUGAAUAUGAUGAAUAUGAUGGUAGACAAAAAAACACAUAUCUCCUAUAAAAUCAAAACUAUGAGGGAUGUUUUUCAUAAAAAGAACCAUCAAUAUAUCACAUUGACUCAUUCGCAUGGAAUCCAACAUAUAGGAGAUGGGUUAUGAAGCCAUUGGAGAGUAAAUUGCAUUCAACAAACAACCAAAGACAAAGUGGAAUUGGAAAUCAAAAUUUCAUCCAUUUCGCAAUUUGGGAUUUAGGCAAUGAGAAUUCCCAUCAAACAUUAAAAAAUUUGCCCAACCUAUUUUUUAUCCAAAACUUCUCUAAAACCUUUAAUUUAACACAAUUCAAACCUAGGCAUAAUGAAAUUUCAGAUAUUAAAACCUAAUUUUCAGCAAUUUGCAGUGAAUUUCGAAAGGACAGAAUUUUUUUGAUACUUACUGGAAAUUCCCCAAAAUGUAAUUAACAUUUGCUGGACAACACGAUAAAAUCCUUCAAAACCUGAAUCUAAUGUAAAAAUAGGAUGAAGUCGAAAUGGAGCCACGGACGCGUGACGGGAAAAGAAAACCUGAGAGUGAGGGAGAAGACGCCGAUGAGAGGUGGUAGCGGUGCGUUUGGCUGGUCAGCGCUCAGUCGCAGAAGCCACCGACGCUGGCAGUGGAGAGAUUGAGAAAGAUUGCAGUGAGGGGGAGGGUUUUCGAAAUUUAGGGGCUUUCCUUUACUUUCUUUCUUUCCAUUCUUUUAACUUAAAACAAAUAAAUUUUAUUUAUUAUUACUAUUUAAUGCAGUUAAAAAAUGUCAUAGAUUUAUGACAUUAAAAAACUGUCAUAAAUUUGGCCAAUCCGAAAAUUUCCAUCUUUUCCCGCCAAAAAUGGGCAUUUUGACAAUUUGUGACAGUUUUUUUGUUCUUCUUUUAAUUUGGAUUGUAUACAAAUGUCAUAGAAUGUCAUUUUUCUUGUAGUGCAAUUUGUGGGGUCUAAUUGAAUUUCUUUAACUUCAAAUUUUGCUUCAAUCCUUCUAUUUUAGUAUUUUUAGAAUACUUAAUUUUUGGCAUUGGUGUUAAUUUUGCUUUAUUUUUGUCUUUACACUCUUAAAUUAAUUAACUUUUGGCAUUUCGACUUCUUCGCUAUAUAAAGGUUAGUACUUACUUUUAUAUACUCAAGACUCUUUCUUAUUUUAAGUUUUUCCAUUUUAUUUUGAUUUUUAAUUACAUGUUCUUUUGAAAAUUGUUUGUUUAUCUAUUAAUGUUGAGAAUAUCAUAAAAUGUUCUCUACAUUUUUUAUUAUUGAAAUUUUGGGGUUCUUUUUUUUUUUUUUUUUUUUUGCUAUUUUCACUAUUUUCACUUUGCGGGAGAACAAAAAGGUAGAAGUAAAACAUUUUAUGUUUUAUUUUAUAUUUUACUAAAAAUACUUUUUAGCAAGAGUAAUACGUAAAUGUAAAAAUACUUUUUAGCAAGUGUAAUAUGUAAACUCCACCAUUUGCGUAUGGAAGGUGUUUGUGAAUAUGCCUGAGAGAUGUGGACUGUGGCUUUGUUUUAUACAAUUUGUUUUAAGCAUAUUUUGACUGUUGAACUGGAAAUGGACUUUUAGAAUCCAACCCAUUUGCUUUAAUUGCACAAAUCUCUAGUGGAAGGAUUUGGCUGCAACUCAUGCAGUCUAAAUAAUGGUUUGUUAUUAUUGUUAGCCUAUUGGUACAAUUCUAGUGUAAUUAUUAGAAACUUCCUGCCUUGAGUUUGGUAUUUACUCACUAACUUUUCAUGGUUGAAUUUUCAGAUCUAUUUGAACUAUCAACCCGAAUUUGGAACUUCAAUGUUGGGGCUUUGGUGAAAGAAAAUGCUUGAACCCAAAUUUGAAUUGAAUUGUAUAUUUAUUAAUCUCUAAAAAGUUUGGUAGUGUGACCUACAACAGUUUGACAACGAUUUUAAGGAUUAAGAAAAUGUUGGAGUUUGAAAGGAAGAAAUCAAAAUUUCCAAGAAACAAGCAAACAUAGUAAAGAAGAAAAUGGGAAAUGGUGAAAUGAACGUGUUGCACUAAAAUCCAAGUUUUAACUGUUUCCAUGUCUUUGCUGCCUUCUCAUAUUUCAAAGGGAGAGAGUUGGUUUCUUGUUUUUGUUAUUAUUUUUUUCCAUAUUGUUUUGUUUUAUGUUGAGCAAUUAAAUUGAAAUAGCAUUCAAGUAUGUUAAUUGAAAAAUAUUGAUCAUUAUUAUUUAAUUCUUGUUUUUUGUUUACUAUGAUUGUGGAGUUCUAUUCUCUAUUAUUACGCAAGGACUACUCUGGUCAAUUACUGUUCUAUAUCUUUGCUGAAGACAUGAUACUAGUAAUGGUGGCUUGAACAUUUGACAUGAGAAUGAUUACAACACUGCCUCAUGGAAAAUCUUCACGUAAGUUCUUCUCUUCAAUAGUUAAAUAUCUUAUAAGACAAUAAACAUAAAUUGCAUAUUUUCUGAGAUAAGAUGAUAGAUACAUGUCAAAUCUUUCCUUGGUUAUUGAACCUUGGUUAAUGAACACAUGGAUGAGUGGGUAUGGCUGAGAGAGUCCAAGAUAUAAUGAAUACUUUAGUGAGUCAUGUUGGAUUGCCAGCCGAAGCCAUUUUUUUCUAGGAUUUUCUGGUGAAUAAGUUGCAUUUCUGCAGAACGAAGAAUUAUAACCAUACACAAAAUCUAAUCAUGAACCGAUAAAACUGGUGGUGGAAAUCCAGUUUUUUCAGUUGCAUUUAAAGACACAGAUUUCUACUCAGGAAGAAAAUGGUAUGUAUAAGGGGACAUUUAGUGGCAUAUGUGAAUUAAAAGACAAUCUUGUUUGUUUUCUAUUUUGAUCUCAGUAUUUACAUUGCUCAAAAAUUGGAAACUUGACUUCAUUGAAAUAGGAAAUUGAAUUUGUCACUUUUGGUUAGUGUUCUUGCACUGCAGCUUUGUUGAGCAGUAUCCAAAUAAAGUUGUUUGUGUGAAGUGAAAAUAAGGAUUAUUGUGAAUUAGUUUAUGGUGUGCAACCAUUGAAAUUGACAAGGAAGACCUGAGAUAUUUAAUAUGGAAAUUACGUACCUUAUUUAAUAUCUGUUUGAUAACCUUUUGUUCUUAUUUUCUCACAACUUUUGGUGAACUUUUCACCUUCCUUGAAAAUACAUCUGAAUCCUAAGCCAUAUUAAAAAAAAAAAAAGAAACACAAAUGAAGUUUGUAAAAACUACCUAUUUAGCUUUCUCACUUUUGACAUGCUUUUUGUCCUUUUGAAAACGUUUUCUUUAUUAAAAGAAGUUGGUGAAUUACACAUAGUGAAAGUAGUGUUUAUAAGCUUAAUCUAACUUUUCUUGACAAGGAAAAAAUGUCAUAAUAUACGAAUUUGUGACAUUUUGUUACUGUCGUCAAUAUCAAAAUAAUGACAAUUUAAUUUUAUAAAAACUGUCAUGAUUGGCCGAUCCUUGACAAGGAAAAAUGUCCUAAUAUACGAAUUCCUUACAUUAUUGUAACUGUCGUCAAUAUAAAAAAGAUGAUAUUUAUUUUUAAAAAAACUAUCACGAUUGACAUAUUCUUGAAAUAUAAAAAAUGUCAUAAUGAACGAAUUCGGGACAUUUUUGUAACUGUCGUUAAUAUGCAAAUGAUAAUAGUUAUUUGUUGUCUAAAAUAAAAUAUGAUAGUUAUUUGUUGUCAUAAAAUAGUAAUUAUUAACAUUUAUUUUCUGUUAUGAAAAAAAUUAUUGUGACAGUAUUUUCAAACUGUCAUGGAAGGACUUUCCACAACAGGGGAUACUACGACUGUAAAUAACUAUCACAGAUUUUGUUCACGACAGAAAAUAACUGUCGUAGUAGACCAUUUUUGUUGUAGUGCUUUUUCAUGAAGAAUUCAGGAACUAAAAAUGACGAGAAGUAGGUUAAAUUUCAGGAUCAAAAUUGAAAGUAAGCAAAAAGAUGUGAGUUUGCUUUAUCGUGUUUCGAUCGAAUUGUGUGUUAAUCUAUCAGGAAUCUCAUUUCAAUUUCUUCAACUUAGUUGUAGAAGGUUCCAAAAUGAAGAGUUUGAUAUAAAAUACAUAAUUUUUAUUUAAGUAUUGAAGAACUUAUGACUAGUUGAAUUUAACCUUCUAAAGUUGAAACUUACUGGAAAAGUAUGGAAUUAAAGACCACUAAGAUUGAUUUAUGUUGGUUGUUUAUGGUGUUAAGACUUUUAAGUUGAAGCUAAGCGUUCAAAAAGUAUAAUUUUAGCCUAAAUUAAAAUAUGUAGGGUUUGAUAUAAAUUAAAGAUGAAAAUGAGAAUUUAAGCCUUUAUAAAAUAAAUAGCUUAAAUUAUAGUAACGAAAUUGGGGUAAGCGUAUAAUCCUCGCAGAACGAGUUCUGUUUUUUACUAUGAAUGGUUACUUUCAAACAUUUGAUACGAAAAUUGUUUACUUUGGUUUUAUCGAUGAGGACGUUUGGUUUGUUUAUUAAGAAAACUCUGUUUUAGCUUUAAAUUGCUGGAAAAAGUAUGAAACAUAAUUAUAGAUGUUGGUUUAUGGUAAUGGAAUGUAAAGGUUGGUUUCCAAAACAAAACAAUGUACUAAGGUGAUUUUACUCGUAGGCUACGUAAAUGUAUUUUCGUAGUGUCACCUAUGGUGUCAGGAGGUUCUGGGGCUGAAAGAGGUCGGACCGAAGAUCCGAGAACCUGAGCCUAGGUGAGGAUAUGGAGGGAAUUGAGAUAUGCUUCGGGCCUAUUAUAACCCAUGGUGGGUGUCUUUUUUACACAAAGGAGCGGGUUCAUGUUGUUACUGUGGUAAGCUAAUAAUGCGUGGACUCCGUUUGGGCACGUGUUUCCUUGUGGUUAUGGAUCACAUGUGAGCUAUUCUGGGUCGUGUGUUUAGUAUGCUAUCGUGGUCGAAUUAGAUGGAUGUUACUAUUGUGGCGGGUACUAAAUAUGCGUGACCCAGUUGGCUGCAUGAUUCCUUGAUCAUGUGCGUGCUACUCUUGGCCGUAUGUUUAGACGUCUUUCCAUGAUCGGAUUGGCUACAGGUUGGUUGGUUGGUUGAUUGGGGAAAAUGUGAUUAUAAUGUUUUAUUUAAUACAUUAUUUAUCGAUGCGUAUUUACACAUCUUAUGAAGCAUAUUUUUACGUGUAUUUGUAUCAAAUUACUUGCUACUCACUAAGCAUUCGGCUUAUUUUUUCAAUAUUUUCUCUCCCUUCCCAAGUAACAACCCAGGACCAAGCUUUGUUUCAGCUUAGUCGUUCUUGUAGAUCUUCAAUUUCUUUUUUUUUUUUUUUGUUUGUGUGUAUAGUUUAAACUUUUGUAAUUCAUCACUGGGUGGUUAGUCUCAUCUAGAGAGACAAUGUGGACUUGUGUUUUGGAAGAUCCCUAAUUAGUUUGAAUACUUAUGUAUGUAAUACGUAGUUUGCACCUUAUAUUGUACUUGAAGUUUUGAUUCGAUGUGAAUGUGUGUGGUGAGACACACUAGUUGUAUGUAGUAUCUGAAUUCCGUUUCAAAUUUUAUAGAAGUAGAAAUUACUACAUUUUCAGGUGUUGUUCCCUCAUAUUUUAUGGGAGGUGCUGUCAACAUUAUUAUACUUUACUCUUGAAAAGGGUGUGUUAUUAAUCUUACGUUUUCAAAGCAUGUUUUAACGAGUAGGCUGACACCAGCAUCUUUUUAAAGAGGGAAGUUUUAGAACGGGGAGUGAAAGCUUGUUUCUAAAUACACUAUAUAUAUGCAUGGACAUAUAAUAUUUAUAAUAGUAAGUAUUAUUAUUAUUAUUAUUAGCUUAUUAUGCUCAAUACUUCAAGGGAAGUGACAAGAAAUGAAUCAGACAUCUAAAGUUGUGAUCGAAUUGGAUGCAAUAAAAGUUGCUUUAUAGAGGAGGUAGGGGAUUAUCGUUAUGAUAUCACUAAACAUUACUUUGUGGAUGGAACAUAAUAGAGGGGGAGGCGGUGGGAUGACCAUUGGGGAUUAUCAACGAUGUUCUAUUUUAAAGGUGAAUGUCAUGUGGUGGAGGAGGGGGAAUAACCAUUUGAGGGCCGCCAACAUCAGAAUCAAAAUGAUGGUGUGGUGGAGGGAGUGGAAUGAUCAUUUUCAGGCCACCUAUGUCAGAAUCAAGAUGAUGGUGUGGAGGAGGGGGUGGGAUGACCAGUUGAGGCCCGCCAACAUCAGAUUGUGGAUGUUUGUGCGGAGGAGGUGGUGGAAUGACCAUUUGAGGGCCACCAACAUCAGAAUCAAGAUGAUGGUGUGGAGGAGGGGUGGAAUGACCAUUUGAGGACCGCCAACAUCAGAUUGUGGUUGUUUGUGCGGAGGAGGUGGUGGGAUGACCCAUUUGAGGGCCACCAACGUCCGAAUUAAGAUGAUGGUGUGGUGGAGGGGGUGGAAUGACCAAUUGAGGGCCACCAACAUCGGAUUGUGGAAGCUUGUGCGGUGGAGGAGGAGGGAUAACCAUUUGAGGGCCGCCAACAUCGGAAUCAAGAUGAUGGUGUGGUGGAGGUGGUGGAAUGACCAUCUGUGGUCCACCAACGUCUGAAUCAAGAUGAUGGUGUGGCGGAGGGGGUGGAAUGACCAUUUGAGGUCCGCCAACAUCAGAUUGUGGGUCAACAUGAAGCAACACUGUAAAUACACAAACAAAGAAUUAGAAUACAUGCAUACGUGAUAUAUGUAUAUGUAUAUAUAUACAAACGGAAAAUAAUAUUCUUGUAUACGUACCACGACAAUGUGACAUUGUGGCUAUGGAUAAAAGCGAUAGAAAAAGAAGAUAAAUUCUUUGUGUUUUCUCCAUAUUGGUCACUAGAAAAUGGAGAAUAGAAGAUUAAUCUUGUGGAAAUGGAUGGAGGAACGAAGGGUUUAUAUAAGAUGGCUUUGUGGGCCAAAACAAGAAUUAUAGUUUAAUCAUAAUCGGUACGCAACUCAAUAAAAUUGAAAUUGAUAAAGUUAUACCCAAGCAGUUUUAAUGGUCCAUUUUAAUGCCUAAAACUCAACAAUCUUAACUUUCAUCUAAAAACAUCCAAUAUCGUGCUUAAGAGAAUUUAAUUACUACUUAGAGAAAUUAAAUGAGAAUAACAAAAGAAGUUAUCCGUGAAAAAAAUAAUUUCAUAUGCUCGUAUUACCAUAAAUCUUCCAACAAUAACCUUCUGUAAAAAAAAAACACAAAAUCUUAGUUAAUGAUGGUAGUUAUAACAGUUUAUGUCAAUGGAUAUCAGUGCAUUUUGAGAACUAAAAAAUCCAUGGUCCAAUUCCUCCGCCUCUCCAAUUUGUCCUAAAAACAAUUUUAAAAGUAAAAAGUAAAUUUUUGGGAACUUUUAAUCAAAAAAAAAAAAAAAAGAAACAAAGGAAAAAGGAAAAAAGAAAAGAUUAUAUGAAUUAAUUAUUGAUGGUUGUCUUAAAACCAUCGAAACAAGCAAUACUCAACAAAGAAGUAAAUUUUAUCGCUCGUAGGUCUAUGGCUUGAAUCUCUCAUCUUCUAUUGAUAUUGAAAAAAAUGAAAUUUAUUAACCAAAUUACUAUUAGGAUAUAUUUUAUCUAACUUAAUUAGGUUGUUAUAUAAUUUUAACUUGUGUUGUUGAAUGAGAAGUUUUUUACUAAUCGCAAAUUGCCCCAUCAUUUCUUAGACUAGAAGAUAUAAUGCUAAGAAAGUUAGCAAAAGAGGUAAAAUUGAACCAAGGAACGAACUAUAGCUUAAGGGGUGAUGGUGCCUUGAUGAAAUAUGAUAGGUUGUGUGUCCCUAGAAACCAAGGCAUAAAAGAUCAAAUUUUAGAGGAAGCAUAUAGUUCUGCAUAUGCAAUUCAUUCUGGCAGUACAAAGAUGUAUAGAACUUUAAUUUAUUGGACCUUAUGAGAUAUUAGAACGUAUUGGGCUUGCAGCGUACAAUAUGGUAUUGCCUAUGGAACUUUCGAGGAUUUGUGAUGUGUUUCAUGUGCGAUGUAGCGUAAGUACGUUUCUGAUCCAUCUCAUAUUCUUGAAACACAACCAGUUCAUUUGAAAGAGAACUUGUCUUACAAAGAGGAGCCAACACAAAUUCUUGAUAAGAAAGAGCUGUGCUAAGGAACUAAGUCAUACCGUUAGUUAAAGUUCUUUGGGGGAACCAUAUUUAUGAAGAAGCAACAUGGGAGACUGAGCAGGCAAUGAAGGCUCAAUACCCACAGCGUUCCACAUCAUCACCAUGAUCGAAUUUCAAGGACGAAAUUAUUAAAAAGAAGAUAGUAACGUGUAAGCCCUCGUUCUUUUCUCCUUUUAUUUAUUAAUAUUUUUAAGUUUGAAAAACAAGUUUAAAUCUAAUAGUUAAUGUCUAAAGGUUGAAUUGUUUUAAUAAGGUAAAUUGGUUUUAAUAAGAAAGUUUGGAACAAAUUUAGGUUGGUUUAAGGCUUCGACUUUUUGAGGUGUUGAAAAGAGUAAGGUAGGGGCAAAAAAUGAGUUUAUUUUGAAAGUGAGGGGUAUUUUUGUCUAUAUCUAUUAUUAGUAUUUUUCUUAUAUGAAGCAAUUAAAAGAAAAAGAGGAGGGGAACGUCUACAAGAGGUCUUGAGUGCACGCCCUCCCCUUCCUUCGAGUUGUUCCCUCUCUCCCACCUUGUUCUCUUUCCUUGGUUUGCCGCCAUACCUGCCGCCUCGUCCUCACGUUUCAGGACAGCCACAAACCGCGUCGUUCAUCUCCUUCGCGUCGUUUGGUGUCGCUUUGAAGCCUUGUCUCCAUCUAAUGACGCGUCACUCGAUUCACCAGACGACGACGUGCACGCCGGCUAGCAAAGCCCUACCACAUCACCCUUAACACAGUCGUAAGCCGGUUCUUCAACACCUCUCCUAUAGCUGUCGUGCGUGGUACUGACUAGAGGCCAACCGAAUCUUUGUCCAUCUCCAUUCUUCUUUCAGUUCCUACUCUUAGAGUAAGAUUUUUAUGGUUCGGGGUUGUUUUCUUUAGGCGAUUGUGAAUACCUAUUAAGUUUAGACAUAAACUUAACUUUUUCCACAACAUUUUGGAUGUUAGAUUUGAUUAUUAUAGGAGUUGGAGCUGUUGUCCAGCCGUUUAAGAACCCAAAAUCGAGUGUUUUGACACAACUUUGGUAAAUUUCUAAACUUCUUGGAGUCAAUCUUAAAUACCUGUUUGAUUCUAGUGCUAUCUUUAAGUAACCAAUGAUGGUGGACGGUUGAUUUGAACUAAGAAGGUACUUAGGAUGUUGCCCAUUGAAAUCAAGGGUACUAUGUUGAGUUCUUGGUAACAUUUGGAAUAGUUUCCACAAAUCAUCUCUGGUUUUUAUAGUGGUUUGAGGUACACAAGAAGAAUUAAAAUAUACAAUUUGAUUCGUUUGAAAGUUCACUCAAUUUCUAACAAGUUUCAUGAAUAAAAUUUGAGCAAAUUCUGAGGCUAAGUGAAUGAUUUUUGAAGUAGAAAAUAGACCAUAGACUUUUCACGUAAUUCCAAGAAGCCUCCGGUUUUUCGAGUAUCCAAUAAUGUAUAGGUGGAAUUAAAAGCUCUAUUUGGUAUGGUUAGAAAGCUUGUUAAAUUUCCUACAACCACUACAACAAAAUCUAUCUACUACAACAGUUGUUUACAUUAGAAAAUGGAAGGGAGGAAAAAAAAACUGUCACAAAAGGUAAAAAUACCCGUCAUUUGUGGGAAAAGGCGAAAUUUUUCAGAUAGCAUUUUUUGCGACAGUUAUUUGAUGUCGUAGAAGAUACAUCAAAUAAUUUAUUUAAUUUAUUAAAAUUCAAUUCAAUUUAAAUGAAAAGUAAAGGGUUUUAAGGCUUUUCCCCCAAAUAAAAAUUUCCCCAAAUUAAAAACCCUCAUUCCUCUCGCAAAUAAGCCAUCUCAAAACGCGAAGAAGACCAUCUUUGGAUGACGCCCGUUCCCAUCACCACCACCGCCUUCUCAUUCCCGUCUCCUCACUCUAUUACUAUCGCAACCUCCUUUAUCGAACGACAAACCUCCUCUAUGAUAACCUGUUUAAUCUGUGCCUGUCAUCUCCAAUCCACCGCAAUCUCUUCAACAUUCAAACCACGACCGUCACCUCCUCUGUCGGUAAGUCAUUUGUUCCUUUUCUCUUUCUCUCUCUUCGCAAAGUUGUUCUCUUGUCACUACUUCCCUCAACUCCAUGAGUCGUCGGUAAGGUCUUAAAUUUUCAACUUCGUUUGAAUUUCCACUUUUGCGCAAACACCCCUAUGUGAUGUAUGUGAAAUAAAUGUUGGAUUUAUCUUUAACUUAAAUUAGACCAAAAAAUGUUAAGACUUGAAGCUGAAAGAGAGCAAGACAAAAAGGGAGAAGGUCCUGAAAAUGUCCUUCAUGUGUUUAGGUUUAUGAGAUGUUUAUUUAAGGAAAUUUUGAUUUAAGAUAUAUUCUUUUAUUAUAUGACACCUCCCCUUGUCUUAAUUUUAUAUAAUACUAUUUGGUGAUGUGUUUUGUUUGUUUUUCUACUGUGCAUUUUUUCAUGAGAAGAUUGUUCUUUGGUGUUUAGGGGAGCCUAAUAACUUCAUCCUUAGCUGAGCAAGAGUUCUCUAACUCUAACUUAGGAGGAGCCUAAAGGUAAGUAUUUGUUGAUGGUAGUAGACACAGUAGACCUUUAUUUAUCAACACUACAAGAAAAAUGGUCUACGACGACAGUUAUUUAUUGUCGUGAACAAAAUCCAUGACAAUUAUUUUCAGUGAUAGAAGCGGGAGUUAUGGAAAGUCCUUCCAUGACAUUUUUCAAAAACUGUCUCCAUAAGUUAUUUCAUUACAUAACAUAAAUGUCGUUAGUUAGCAUUCUACGACAUCAAAUAACUGUAAUAUUUUAUUUUAUGACAAUAAAUAACUAUCAUCAUUUAUGUAUUAACGACAGUUAAAUAAAUGUCAUGAAUUCGUUUAUUGUGACAUGUUUUAAAUGUCACGAAUAUGUCAAUUGCGACAAUUUUUUUUAAAAAAUGUCAUUGUUUUGCUACUGAUGACAUUAUUUUUCUGUCAAAGAUAGGCAAUCGUGACAAUUAAUUUUGUAAAAAAAACUGUCAUUGUUUUCGUAUUCACAACAAUUAAUAACUGUUAAAAAUUCAUAUAUUACGACAUGUUUUUCCUGUUGCAAAUUACUCGAUUAGUACAGUUUUUUCCUGUUCUCCUUGCCACUCCGCCAUUACACGAACCAUUUGAAUGACAAUAAUGUAGCUGACAAUGACAAUUUUGAAUUUAUAAUAUUGACACCCAUAUAGAAAAAAUUAGCCAACAAUUUAAUAUAUAUACGCUAUAAUACAAUUUAUAAUAUUCGUACAUUUCCAAUCAAGUUCCAACAAUUUACAAGUACAGAAUCUCAGCCCUUAAUCAAAAAAUAUUUUAAAUAGCAUCAGAAUACAUAUAACAAGAUUUUCUGCUAAAGCAUAAACGACCAACCGAGAAUGUUUGUCUCUGAAAAUGUUCUUUGAAAGUAAACUCAUGAAGUUGUCGACUCCAGUUGAACCUACGAAGACAACAUGAAUAUAAGCAUCCAUCAUAGAACAAGAGAGUACAACUCUUAUAGAAAAUUUCAACAUUGAGAAUUACCUAUCACUACAUACGUCGAUAAGAUAAACAACUACAUAGCAGAGCACACAUGUAGAAUAACAACAUCAACUUAACAUCCACUUGGUCUACCAUAUUGGAACUUUUUACAAAUUACAACUCUUGUAUCAUUACUCUUUAGAAAACUUAGCUGGAUAUAAAUAAGUAAUCAACAAGAAAAUUCUUGAAUAAGUAAUCAUAAGUAAUAAUCGAGAUGAAUGAAACUUAAGAAUCCAUUAGUAGUUCACUGUCACUAAGGUUGGAAGAAACGUUAUCCAACAAGAACCAAAAAGUUUCCAUCUUAAGGAGUCAAACACUUUCAAAUCUACAAAUAUCAGAAAGAAGACAGUUUUCAUGUGCAAUCCACUUCAGUUAAUGAAGCCAAGAAAUAUUAAGGUACUAGGAAAAUGAAACUAGAACAACUUGUAUCAUUUAUGGCUUGACAGAAUUUAAAGGUCUCCUAGUUUCUUAUAAAAAAAAGCUCUACCAAUGAGUACCGACAUAAAAUCCAUGACAAUUUACACAAGUACCAAUUUAGCAAUAGCAAUAAGUACAGACAUAACACCCAUGGCAAUUUACACAAGUAGCAAUAGUCAACCACUAUAAGCAUACUAUUCAUGAUAAAAAACAAAAUUGUAGCAUCCUAGCAGGUAUAUUGUUGGUAUCGAUAGGUUGUUUUCAAGUAUUUAUCUUGUUUCGUAAAGCAAAAAUUCAAUAGUUUGUUUUAGCAUAUAUAACCACUAAAAUUGAAUAAUGACAAAUCAUCAAAGAGUGAAAAAUGGAAAGCCAAUAACUUCAACAAACUAAAGUUGUAAGAGUAUAUACUUUGAAAUAAAUAUUACCUGUUAACUAUAUCGUUAGAUUGUUCUUAUCUUCUUUAUAUGUUAGAGGUAUCCUCUUGAGUUGCUAGCCUUCAUAAGAUAUAUACCUUUAUUAUCUGACGUGCUCCAUUUCUAUUGGAUGCUUGCCAAUUCUCUAUGAUCAUACAUCUGAAGGCUGAAUCACAUUUUCAUCAUGUAAUCGGACUUUAGUGAUUGGAUUUGGACGUUUAAGAUCAUGCAAAAUAAGAAGCACAAAUGUAGAUAUGCAACGUAAUAUGUUUACAAUAAGAAAACUAAAACUUCUAAAUGAAUUCUGAAUCUUUAUACACCCCGAGUAUGAUGACAUGCACAAAAUUCUUCUCCUAGAUUCAAUGUAUAGAGAUGAAUAUUGUUUAUGGAUACCUUACUAUGAUUUCCUUACAAUGUACAAUCUACUUGAAGGUAGUUGAGGUUCUAAAGUACCUAAAUACACCGUUCCUACAAAUUGGAACCGAUAGUCUGUCGAGAUAAAAAAUAUCUAAUAUAAGAACUUUUGUGGUUAGCUUUUUGAACAUCUUAACUUUUAACAAGUCAAUAAGAAAUGGAAACAAGAGCAUACCAUUACAGAAAAUCAAGCACAUUUCAGCUUUAAAAUUAUUGUAAACAUAUAUGGUUUAAUUUAAAAUUAGAAACAAUUGAAAAUCUUCUUAGGAGCAGUUCCAGUAGCUCUGUGUUUGGCAGCAAUUUCCUCUGCCUUUGCCUUUAGCUUUUCUUCUCCAUGCUUUGCUUCAAUUAACAACCUUAUUUUCUUAUGUUGUUUUGUGUAUCAAUGCUAUUUUGUUCUUCAUUUUCUCUAUAUACUCACCCUUCUUCUUCUCAAAUUUUUCAUGCUCUCAUUACAAAAUCAAUCCAAAUGAAAUCGACAAAAAAGAAAAAAAAAACAUAGUUGUAAAGAGCAGUUCCGUCAAUGAAGAGAAAUAUCGAAUUACAGAUUUUGGAAUCUUCACUGAGGUUGUGAGUUUAUAUUUAAUGAAUUUUUCUAAAAUCUAGAACUAAAAUCGUAAAUAGCAUCUACAUACUAUACAAAUAAAACUUAAACACAUUACAUAUAUUUUGUUUUCUAAUUACCUCAAUUUGUUUUAGUUCAGCCUCAAGAGCUGCUUUCUUGUUGUUCUCCCAUGACCCAAUGCGUUCCAUCCAGAAAAACACAUAUAUAAAGCAAAUAAUAGCAUCAAAGGGGUUAAAUUCCAUUGAGCUCCCUAUUCAACUCUUCAGUAUCAAUCAGAAUUUUAGAAUUAUUAACCCAAGGGCUGAGAAAUAUAAAAUAAAUUUGGAAACAAAAGAAAAUUCCAUUGAGCUCUUUAAGGAGGAAGCAAAAGAUUGUAUUCUUUUGAAAUUAACUUUCUCAAAAGAAGCAACAAUCUCUUCUCACAAACUAGUAACAUAGAUUCCCCACUGCAAAUAGGAGAAAAGAACUAACAUCAACAAAGUAGAUAGAAUUUUGGACAAAGAGUAACAUAACAUGAAGUUAGGAACAUGCAGUAAACAAAAUCUCAUGAAGAUUAAGCACAUCAAUACCCACAACUAGAUCCUAAAAAAAAUAAGAAUCUGAAACUAGAUCCUGAAUAAUAGCAUAUCUUAUAAUCCAAUGAACACCAAUAAUUAUCCUACUGUGCAAACAUGGAAAUUACUUAUGUAGAUUGGAACCCACAAUUUUCAAUUUGAAAAUCUACUUCCUUGAACCAAUGAAAUCAAUUAGUUCAAAGGAGUAACAAACUACAAACAAGUUAGCAUUAAUGAACCGUAUCUACAUUAAAAUAAUAUAAAUAAAAGACAAAUUCACUCUCCCCUUUCUCUACUCCACCCCACUAAGUCUAUAUAUUUGUAAUUUACCCACUCACUCAAAACAACAUUCAAGGAACAAAUCAAGUGAAAGAAAACCUUUUCCAAUUCCUUGCCAUAAAUCUACUAAAUAAUGCAAAUUAACUAUAAAAAAUUCAGAAAUCAAUGAAUAGGUAAUGAUAUUUUUACGAAAAUAAUAAAGAAUACUUGUUGUCAUAUAAUCUUAAAAAUUAAUGAUACGCACAGAAGAAGUAUUGAAUAACAUAAUUCAAGGAUUGUUGUGUGACUCAAACAUCCUAUAUCGGGACAAACACAAUCACACAACAUCAUUAGCAUUUCAAUACAUUCAUAAAUAAUAAUAUAUCGUUUAUCUGUUUCUUUCCUUCAUACAAUCCUAAAGAGUUUACAACUCUUUUUUUAAAUAUCUCAUUCGUCUUUUGAUAUACGCUCAUCUUGAAAAUCCCCUCUCUCCAAAAAAAAAAAAAAAAAGGACAGAUUUCAUUCUCCAAUCUCUCCAUCCAUUUCCACACCCACCCUAAUAUUUAAUAUUUACAAAGAAUCUUAUUAAAAAAAAAAAACUUAGCAUGUUUUUCCAAAAUGCCACUUAAACUAGUGGCAUCAUUGAUCAUUAAUCUAUCGAUUGAGAGUGACAGAAACAUCGAUAGAGAGCUCUAACAAGAGAAUAUUAACAUCACCAUGCUAACCUUUUGAGUGGCUAAGAAAAAAUUGAGAUGAAAUUCUUCAAGACUUGAACUUCUCAAUGUACUGUAACCCAACUUCGACUGAAUCUACACGUAAACAUUAAGUCAUCAGAACUUGAAUGUCAUCAACACACAAAAAAAAUUCAUGCUUCUUGUAUUCUACAAGAUACUCUUAUUACUUCAUUGGUUGUCUUCAAACAUUAUCACUUUCAAUAAAAACAACCAAAGUCCAUAAACAGAUUGUAUGUUAUUAUUGGAAAACAAAAUAAUUGAAAACAUAGGACCAUUUUCAAACCAUUAAGCAAUCACUAUAGGACCAACCAUCAAUAAAAACAUAUUUACAAAUAUGUAAAGUAGAUCAGAUACGUCCAAAACUAAAGGACUAAAUGAGUUAACGUCCAGAAAAAAAAAAUCCAGACAUGCAUAUACACACCAAAUGCUUACAAAAUCAAUAUAACAAUCUUCCAAAGUACCCUACCAGAAUAAUAAUCUCGUGACAAAUAAGUGUCCUUAAGAGGACCAAAUUGCACAAAUAAUCCCGUAGGUCGUCUGACCUGCAAAAUACAUACCGAUGAAGAAGUUGAUCAACUUAAUAGAGAACAAAACCAAACACAAUCUCCUUUUUCCCUUUGUCUUCUCAACAAAAUAAAACGUUUCUUAGAAUUUUCCUAAUUCAAACGAACGAAAAUCAAUUAAAAAUCAACUAAAUGCUUCAUUGAGGCAUUUCAUCAAACACAUUGUAAUCAAACAUAUCGUAAGCAACCAAAAUGCUUCAUCACAUAACCAACCAUAAAGAAAAAAUGUGAUUCACAUUAGAAAAAUGAUCGUAAACAACAAUAUUGAAUAUGAUGAAUAUGAUGGUAGACAAAACAAACACAUAUCUCCUAUAAAAUCAAAACUAUGAGGGAUGUUUUUCAUAAAAAGAACCAUCAAUAUAUCACAUUGACUCAUUCGCAUGGAAUCCAACAUAUAGGAGAUGAGUUAUGAAGCCAUUGGAGAGUAAAUUGCAUUCAACAAACAACCAAAGACAAAGUGGAAUUGGAAAUCAAAAUUUCAUCCAUUUCGCAAUUUGGGAUUUAGGCAAUGAGAAUUCCCAUCAAACAUUAAAAAAUUUGCCAACCUAUUUUUUAUCCAAAACUUCUCUAAAACCUUUAAUUUAACACAAUUCAAACCUAGGCAUAAUGAAAUUUCAGAUAUUAAAACCUAAUUUUCAGCAAUUUGCAGUGAAUUUCGAAAGGACAGAAUUUUUUUUGAUACUUACUGGAAAUUCCCCAAAAUGUAAUUAACAUUUGCUGGACAACACGAUAAAAUCCUUCAAAACCUGAAUCUAAUGUAAAAAUAGGAUGAAGUCGAAAUGGAGCCACGGACGCGUGACGGGAAAAGAAAACCUGAGAGUGAGGGAGAAGACGCCGAUGAGAGGUGGUAGCGGUGCGUUUGGCUGGUCAGCGCUCAGUCGCAGAAGCCACCGACGCUGGCAGUGGAGAGAUUGAGAAAGAUUGCAGUGAGGGGGAGGGUUUUCGAAAUUUAGGGGCUUUCCUUUACUUUCUUUCUUUCCAUUCUUUUAACUUAAAAAAAUAAAUUUUAUUUUAUUAUUACUAUUUAAUGCAGUUAAAAAAUGUCAUAGAUUUAUGACAUUAAAAAACUGUCAUAAAUUUGGCCAAUCCGAAAAUUUCCAUCUUUUCCCGCCAAAAAUGGGCAUUUUGACAAUUUGUGACAGUUUUUUUGUUCUUCUUUUAAUUUGGAUUGUAUACAAAUGUCAUAGAAUGUCAUUUUUCUUGUAGUGCAAUUUGUGGGGUCUAAUUGAAUUUCUUUAACUUCAAAUUUUGCUUCAAUCCUUCUAUUUUAGUAUUUUUAGAAUACUUAAUUUUUGGCAUUGGUGUUAAUUUUGCUUUAUUUUUGUCUUUACACUCUUAAAUUAAUUAACUUUUGGCAUUUCGACUUCUUCGCUAUAUAAAGGUUAGUACUUACUUUUAUAUACUCAAGACUCUUUCUUAUUUUAAGUUUUUCCAUUUUAUUUUGAUUUUUAAUUACAUGUUCUUUUGAAAAUUGUUUGUUUAUCUAUUAAUGUUGAGAAUAUCAUAAAAUGUUCUCUACAUUUUUUAUUAUUGAAAUUUUGGGGUUUUUUUUUUUUUUUUUUUUUUUUUGCUAUUUUCACUUUGCGGGAGAACAAAAAGGUAGAAGUAAAACAUUUUAUGUUUUAUUUUAUAUUUUACUAAAAAUACUUUUUAGCAAGAGUAAUACGUAAAUGUAAAAAUACUUUUUAGCAAGUGUAAUAUGUAAACUCCACCAUUUGCGUAUGGAAGGUGUUUGUGAAUAUGCCUGAGAGAUGUGGACUGUGGCUUUGUUUUAUACAAUUUGUUUUAAGCAUAUUUUGACUGUUGAACUGGAAAUGGACUUUUAGAAUCCAACCCAUUUGCUUUAAUUGCACAAAUCUCUAGUGGAAGGAUUUGGCUGCAACUCAUGCAGUCUAAAUAAUGGUUUGUUAUUAUUGUUAGCCUAUUGGUACAAUUCUAGUGUAAUUAUUAGAAACUUCCUGCCUUGAGUUUGGUAUUUACUCACUAACUUUUCAUGGUUGAAUUUUCAGAUCUAUUUGAACUAUCAACCCGAAUUUGGAACUUCAAUGUUGGGGCUUUGGUGAAAGAAAAUGCUUGAACCCAAAUUUGAAUUGAAUUGUAUAUUUAUUAAUCUCUAAAAAGUUUGGUAGUGUGACCUACAACAGUUUGACAACGAUUUUAAGGAUUAAGAAAAUGUUGGAGUUUGAAAGGAAGAAAUCAAAAUUUCCAAGAAACAAGCAAACAUAGUAAAGAAGAAAAUGGGAAAUGGUGAAAUGAACGUGUUGCACUAAAAUCCAAGUUUUAACUGUUUCCAUGUCUUUGCUGCCUUCUCAUAUUUCAAAGGGAGAGAGUUGGUUUCUUGUUUUUGUUAUUAUUUUUUUCCAUAUUGUUUUGUUUUAUGUUGAGCAAUUAAAUUGAAAUAGCAUUCAAGUAUGUUAAUUGAAAAAUAUUGAUCAUUAUUAUUUAAUUCUUGUUUUUUGUUUACUAUGAUUGUGGAGUUCUAUUCUCUAUUAUUACGCAAGGACUACUCUGGUCAAUUACUGUUCUAUAUCUUUGCUGAAGACAUGAUACUAGUAAUGGUGGCUUGAACAUUUGACAUGAGAAUGAUUACAACACUGCCUCAUGGAAAAUCUUCACGUAAGUUCUUCUCUUCAAUAGUUAAAUAUCUUAUAAGACAAUAAACAUAAAUUGCAUAUUUUCUGAGAUAAGAUGAUAGAUACAUGUCAAAUCUUUCCUUGGUUAUUGAACCUUGGUUAAUGAACACAUGGAUGAGUGGGUAUGGCUGAGAGAGUCCAAGAUAUAAUGAAUACUUUAGUGAGUCAUGUUGGAUUGCCAGCCGAAGCCAUUUUUUUCUAGGAUUUUCUGGUGAAUAAGUUGCAUUUCUGCAGAACGAAGAAUUAUAACCAUACACAAAAUCUAAUCAUGAACCGAUAAAACUGGUGGUGGAAAUCCAGUUUUUUCAGUUGCAUUUAAAGACACAGAUUUCUACUCAGGAAGAAAAUGGUAUGUAUAAGGGGACAUUUAGUGGCAUAUGUGAAUUAAAAGACAAUCUUGUUUGUUUUCUAUUUUGAUCUCAGUAUUUACAUUGCUCAAAAAUUGGAAACUUGACUUCAUUGAAAUAGGAAAUUGAAUUUGUCACUUUUGGUUAGUGUUCUUGUACUGCAGCUUUGUUGAGCAGUAUCCAAAUAAAGUUGUUUGUGUGAAGUGAAAAUAAGGAUUAUUGUGAAUUAGUUUAUGGUGUGCAACCAUUGAAAUUGACAAGGAAGACCUGAGAUAUUUAAUAUGGAAAUUACGUACCUUAUUUAAUAUCUGUUUGAUAACCUUUUGUUCUUAUUUUCUCACAACUUUUGGUGAACUUUUCACCUUCCUUGAAAAUACAUCUGAAUCCUAAGCCAUAUUAAAAAAAAAAAAAAGAAACACAAAUGCGGUUUGUAAAAACUACCUAUUUAGCUUUCUCACUUUUGACAUGCUUUUUGUCCUUUUGAAAACGUUUUCUUUAUUAUAAAAACUGUCAUGAUUGGCCGAUCCUUGACAAGGGAAAAAUGUCCUAAUAUACGAAUUCCUUACAUUAUUGUAACUGUCGUCAAUAUAAAAAAGAUGAUAUUUAUUUUUAAAAAAACUAUCACGAUUGACAUAUUCUUGAAAUAUAAAAAAUGUCAUAAUGAAUGAAUUCGGGACAUUUUUGUAACUGUCGUUAAUAUGCAAAUGAUAAUAGUUAUUUGUUGUCUAAAAUAAAAUAUGAUAGUUAUUUGUUGUCAUAAAAUAGUAAUUAUUAACAUUUAUUUUCUGUUAUGAAAAAAAUUAUUGUGACAGUAUUUUCAAACUGUCAUGGAAGGACUUUCCACAACAGGGGAUACUACGACUGUAAAUAACUAUCACAGAUUUUGUUCACGACAGAAAAUAACUGUCGUAGUAGACCAUUUUUGUUGUAGUGCUUUUUCAUGAAGAAUUCAGGAACUAAAAACGACGAGAAGUAGGUUAAAUUUCAGGAUCAAAAUUGAAAGUAAGCAAAAAGAUGUGAGUUUGCUUUAUCGUGUUUCGAUCGAAUUGUGUGUUAAUCUAUCAGGAAUCUCAUUUCAAUUUCUUCAACUUAGUUGUAGAAGGUUCCAAAAUGAAGAAUUUGAUAUAAAAUACAUAAUUUUCUAUUUAAGUAUUGAAGAACUUAUGACUAGUUGAAUUUAACCUUCCAAAGUUGAAACUUACUGGAAAAGUAUGGGGUUAAAGACCACUAAGAUUGAUUUAUGUUGGUUGUUUAUGGUGUUAAGACUUUUAAGUUGAAGCUAAGCGUUCAAAAGUAUAAUUUUAGCCUAAAUUAAAAUAUGUAGGGUUUGAUAUAAAUUAAAGAUGAAAAUGAGAAUUUAAGCUUAUAUAAAAUAAAUAGCUUAAAUUAUAGUAACGAAAUUGGGGUAAGCGUAUAAUCCUCGCAGAACGAGUUCUGUUUUUUACUAUGAAUGGUUACUUUCAAACAUUUGAUACGAAAAUUGUUUACUUUGGUUUUAUCGAUGAGGACGUUUGGUUUGUUUAUUAAGAAAACUCUGUUUUAGCUUUAAAUUGCUGGAAAAAGUAUGAAACAUAAUUAUAGAUGUUGGUUUAUGGUAAUGGAAUGUAAAGGUUGGUUUCCAAACCACAAAACCAAUGUACUAAGGUGAUUUUACUCGUAGGCUACGUAAAUGUAUUUUCGUAGUGUCACCUAUGGUUGUCAGGAGGUUCUGGGGCUGAAAGAGGUCGUGACCGAAGAUCCGAGAACCUGAGCCUAGGUGAGGAUAUGGAGGGAGAAUUGAGAUAUGGCUUCGGGCCUAUUAUAACCCAUGGUGGGUGUCUUUUUUACACAAAGGAGCGGGUUCAUGUUGUUACUGUGGUAAGCUAAUAAUGCGUGGACUCCGUUUGGGCACGUGUUUCCUUGUGGUUAUGGAUCACAUGUGAGCUAUUCUGGGUCGUGUGUUUAGUAUGCUAUCGUGGUCGAAUUAGAUGGAUGUUACUAUUGUGGCGGGUACUAAAUAUGUGUGACCCAGUUGUGGCUGCAUGAUUCCUUGAUCAUGUGCGUGCUACUCUUGGCCGUAUGUUUAGACGUCUUUCCAUGAUCGGAUUGGCUACAGGUUGGUUGGUUGGUUGAUUGGGGAAAAUGUGAUUAUAAUGUUUUAUUUAAUACAUUAUUUAUCGAUGCGUAUUUACACAUCUUAUGAAGCAUAUUUUUACGUGUAUUUGUAUCAAAUUACUUGCUACUCACUAAGCAUUCGACUUAUUUUUUCAAUAUUUUCUCUCCCUUCCCAAGUAACAACCCAGGACCAAGCUUUGUUUCAGCUUAGUCGUUCUUGUAGAUCUUCAAUUUCUUUUUUUUUUUUUUUGUUUGUGUGUAUAGUUUAAACUUUUGUAAUUCAUCACUGGGUGGUUAGUCUCAUCUAGAGAGACAAUGUGGACUUGUGUUUUGGAAGAUCCCUAAUUAGUUUGAAUACUUAUGUAUGUAAUACGUAGUUUGCACCUUAUAUUGUACUUGAAGUUUUGAUUCGAUGUGAAUGUGUGUGGUGAGACACACUAGUUGUAUGUAGUAUCUGAAUUCCGUUUCAAAUUUUAUAGAAGUAGAAAUUACUACAUUUUCAGGUGUUGUUCCCUCAUAUUUUAUGGGAGGUGCUGUCAACAUUAUUAUACUUUACUCUUGAAAAGGGUGUGUUAUUAAUCUUACGUUUUCAAAGCAUGUUUUAACGAGUAGGCUGACACCAGCAUCUUUUUAAAGAGGGAAGUUUUAGAACGGGGAGUGAAAGCUUGUUUCUAAAUACACUAUAUAUAUGCAUGGACAUAUAAUAUUUAUAAUAGUAAGUAUUAUUAUUAUUAUUAUUAGCUUAUUAUGCUCAAUACUUCAAGGGAAGUGACAAGAAAUGAAUCAGACAUCUAAAGUUGUGAUCGAAUUGGAUGCAAUAAAAGUUGCUUUAUAGAGGAGGUAGGGGAUUAUCGUUAUGAUAUCACUAAACAUUACUUUGUGGAUGGAACAUAAUAGAGGGGGAGGCGGUGGGAUGACCAUUGGGGAUUAUCAACGAUGUUCUAUUUUAAAGGUGAAUGUCAUGUGGUGGAGGAGGGGGAAUAACCAUUUGAGGGCCGCCAACAUCAGAAUCAAAAUGAUGGUGUGGUGGAGGGAGUGGAAUGAUCAUUUGCAGGCCACCUAUGUCAGAAUCAAGAUGAUGGUGUGGAGGAGGGGGUGGAUGACCAGUUGAGGCCCGCCAACAUCAGAUUGUGGAUGUUUGUGCGGUGGAGGUGGUGGAUGACCAUUUGAGGGCCACCAACGUCAGAAUCAAGAUGAUGGUGUGGAUGAGGGGGUGGAAUGACCAUUUGAGGCCCGCCAACAUCAGAUUGUGGAUGUUUGUGCGGAGGAGGUGGUGGAAUGACCAUUUGAGGGCCACCAACAUCAGAAUCAAGAUGAUGGUGUGGAGGAGGGGGUGGAAUGACCAUUUGAGGGCCACCAACAUCAGAUUGUGGUUGUUUGUGCGGAGGAGGUGGUGGGAUGACCAUUUGAGGGCCACCAACGUCCGAAUUAAGAUGAUGGUGUGGUGGAGGGGGUGGAAUGACCAAUUGAGGGCCACCAACAUCGGAUUGUGGAAGCUUGUGCGGUGGAGGAGGAGGGAUAACCAUUUGAGGGCCGCCAACAUCGGAAUCAAGAUGAUGGUGUGGUGGAGGUGGUGGAAUGACCAUCUGUGGUCCACCAACGUCUGAAUCAAGAUGAUGGUGUGGCGGAGGGGUGGAAUGACCAUUUGAGGUCCGCCAACAUCAGAUUGUGGGUCAACAUGAAGCAACACUGUAAAUACACAAACAAAGAAUUAGAAUACAUGCAUACGUGAUAUAUGUAUAUGUAUAUAUAUACAAACGGAAAAUAAUAUUCUUGUAUACGUACCACGACAAUGUGACAUUGUGGCUAUGGAUAAAAGCGAUAGAAAAAGAAGAUAAAUUCUUUGUGUUUUCUCCAUAUUGGUCACUAGAAAAUGGAGAAUAGAAGAUUAAUCUUGUGGAAAUGGAUGGAGGAACGAAGGGUUUAUAUAAGAUGGCUUUGUGGGCCAAAACAAGAAUUAUAGUUUAAUCAUAAUCGGUACGCAACUCAAUAAAAUUGAAAUUGAUAAAGUUAUACCCAAGCAGUUUUAAUGGUCCAUUUUAAUGCCUAAAACUCAACAAUCUUAACUUUCAUCUAAAAACAUCCAAUAUCGUGCUUAAGAGAAUUUAAUUACUACUUAGAGAAAUUAAAUGAGAAUAACAAAAAGAAGUUAUCCGUGAAAAAAAUAAUUUCAUAUGCUCGUAUUACCAUAAAUCUUCCAACAAUAACCUUCUGUAAAAAAAAAACACAAAAUCUUAGUUAAUGAUGGUAGUUAUAACAGUUUAUGUCAAUGGAUAUCAGUGCAUUUUGAGAACUAAAAAAUCCAUCGUCCAAUUCCUCCGCCUCUCCAAUUUGUCCUAAAAACAAUUUUAAAAGUAAAAAGUAAAUUUUUGGGAACUUUUAAUCAAAAAAAAAAAAAAAGAAACAAAGGAAAAAGGAAAAAAGAAAAGAUUGUAUGAAUUAAUUAUUGAUGGUUGUCUUAAAACCAUCGAAACAAGCAAUACUCACAAAGAAGUAAAUUUUAUCGCUCGUAGGUCUAUGGCUUGAAUCUCUCAUCUUCUAUUGAUAUUGAAAAAAUGAAAUUUAUUAACCAAAUUACUAUUAGGAUAUAUUUUAUCUAACUUAAUUAGGUUGUUAUAUAAUUUUAACUUGUGUUGUUGAAUGAGAAGUUUUUUACUAAUCGCAAAUUGCCCCAUCAUUUCUUAGACUAGAAGAUAUAAUGCUAAGAAAGUUAGCAAAAGAGGUAAAAUUGAACCAAGGAACGAACUAUAGCUUAAGGGGUGAUGGUGCCUUGAUGAAAUAUGAUAGGUUGUGUGUCCCUAGAAACCAAGGCAUAAAAGAUCAAAUUUUAGAGGAAGCAUAUAGUUCUGCAUAUGCAAUUCAUUCUGGCAGUACAAAGAUGUAUAGAACUUUAAUUUAUUGGACCUUAUGAGAUAUUAGAACGUAUUGGGCUUGCAGCGUACAAUAUGGUAUUGCCUAUGGAACUUUCGAGGAUUUGUGAUGUGUUUCAUGUGCGAUGUAGCGUAAGUACGUUUCUGAUCCAUCUCAUAUUCUUGAAACACAACCAGUUCAUUUGAAAGAGAACUUGUCUUACAAAGAGGAGCCAACACAAAUUCUUGAUAAGAAAGAGCUGGUGCUAAGGAACUAAGUCAUACCGUUAGUUAAAGUUCUUUGGGGGAACCAUAUUUAUGAAGAAGCAACAUGGGAGACUGAGCAGGCAAUGAAGGCUCAAUACCCACAGCGUUCCACAUCAUCACCAUGAUCGAAUUUCAAGGACGAAAUUAUUAAAAAGAAGAUAGUAACGUGUAAGCCCUCGUUCUUUUCUCCUUUUAUUUAUUAAUAUUUUUAAGUUUGAAAAACAAGUUUAAAUCUAAUAGUUAAUGUCUAAAGGUUGAAUUGUUUUAAUAAGGUAAAUUGGUUUUAAUAAGAAAGUUUGGAACAAAUUUAGGUUGGUUUAAGGCUUCGACUUUUUGAGGUGUUGAAAAGAGUAAGGUAGGGGCAAAAAAUGAGUUUAUUUUGAAAGUGAGGGGUAUUUUUGUCUAUAUCUAUUAUUAGUAUUUUUCUUAUAUGAAGCAAUUAAAAGAAAAAGAGGAGGGGAACGUCUACAAGAGGUCUUGAGUGCACGCCCUCCCCUUCCUUCGAGUUGUUCCCUCUCUCCCACCUUGUUCUCUUUCCUUGGUUUGCCGCCAUACCUGCCGCCUCGUCCUCACGUUUCAGGACAGCCACAAACCGCGUCGUUCAUCUCUCUUCGCGUCGUUUGGUGUCGCUUUGAAGCCUUGUCUCCAUCUAAUGACGCGUCACUCGAUUCACUAGACGACGACGUGCACACCGGCUAGCAAAGCCCUACCACAUCGCCCUUAACACAGUCGUAAGUCGGUUCUUCAACACCUCUCCUAUAGCCGUCAUGCGUGGUAGCUGACUAGAGGCCAACCGAAUCUUUGUCCAUCUCCAUUCUUCUUUCAGUUCCUACUCUUAGAGUAAGAUUUUUAUGGUUCGGGGUUGUUUUCUUUAGGCGAUUGUGAAUACCUAUUAAGUUUAGACAUAAACUUAACUUUUUCCACAACAUUUUGGAUGUUAGAUUUGAUUAUUAUAGGAGUUGGAGUUGUUGUCCAGCCGUUUAAGAACCCAAAAUCGAGUGUUUUGACACAACUUUGGUAAAUUUCUAAACUUCUUGGAGUCAAUCUUAAAUACCUGUUUGAUUCUAGUGCUAUCUUUAAGUAACCAAUGAUGGUGGACGGUUGAUUUGAACUAAGAAGGUACUUAGGAUGUUGCCCAUUGAAAUCAAGGGUACUAUGUUGAGUUCUUGGUAACAUUUGGAAUAGUUUCCACAAAUCAUCUCUGGUUUUUAUAGUGGUUUGAGGUACACAAGAAGAAUUAAAAUAUACAAUUUGAUUCGUUUGAAAGUUCACUCAAUUUCUAACAAGUUUCAUGAAUAAAAUUUGAGCAAAUUCUGAGGCUAAGUGAAUGAUUUUUGAAGUAGAAAAUAGACCAUAGACUUUUCACGUAAUUCCAAGAAGCCUCUGGUUUUUCGAGUAUCCAAUAAUGUAUAGGUGGAAUUAAAAGCUCUAUUUGGUAUGGUUAGAAAGCUUGUUAAAUUUCCUACAACCACUACAACAAAAUCUAUCUACUACAACAGUUGUUUACAUUAGAAAAUGGAAGGGAGGAAAAAAAAACUGUCACAAAAGGUAAAAAUACCCGUCAUUUGUGGGAAAAGGCGAAAUUUUUCAGAUAGCAUUUUUUGCGACAGUUAUUUGAUGUCGUAGAAGAUACAUCAAAUAAUUUAUUUAAUUUAUUAAAAUUCAAUUCAAUUUAAAUGAAAAGUAAAGGGUUUUAAGGCUUUUCCCCCAAAUAAAAAUUUCCCCAAAUUAAAAACCCUCAUUCCUCUCGCAAAUAAGCCAUCUCAAAACGCGAAGAAGACCAUCUUUGGAUGACGCCCGUUCCCAUCACCACCACCGCCUUCUCAUUCCCGUCUCCUCACUCUAUUACUAUCGCAACCUCCUUUAUCGAACGACAAACCUCCUCUAUGAUAACCUGUUUAAUCUGUGCCUGUCAUCUCCAAUCCACCGCAAUCUCUUCAACAUUCAAACCACGACCGUCACCUCCUCUGUCGGUAAGUCAUUUGUUCCUUUUCUCUUUCUCUCUCUUCGCAAAGUUGUUCUCUUGUCACUACUUCCCUCAACUCCAUGAGUCGUCGGUAAGGUCUUAAAUUUUCAACUUCGUUUGAAUUUCCACUUUUGCGCAAACACCCCUAUGUGAUGUAUGUGAAAUAAAUGUUGGAUUUAUCUUUAACUUAAAUUAGACCAAAAAAUGUUAAGACUUGAAGCUGAAAGAGAGCAAGACAAAAAGGGAGAAGGUCCUGAAAAUGUCCUUCAUGUGUUUAGGUUUAUGAGAUGUUUAUUUAAGGAAAUUUUGAUUUAAGAUAUAUUCUUUUAUUAUAUGACACCUCCCCUUGUCUUAAUUUUAUAUAAUACUAUUUGGUGAUGUGUUUUGUUUGUUUUUCUACUGUGCAUUUUUUCAUGAGAAGAUUGUUCUUUGGUGUUUAGGGGAGCCUAAUAACUUCAUCCUUAGCUGAGCAAGAGUUCUCUAACUCUAACUUAGGAGGAGCCUAAAGGUAAGUAUUUGUUGAUGGUAGUAGACACAGUAGACCUUUAUUUAUCAACACUACAAGAAAAAUGGUCUACGACGACAGUUAUUUAUUGUCGUGAACAAAAUCCAUGACAAUUAUUUUCAGUGAUAGAAGCGGGAGUUAUGGAAAGUCCUUCCAUGACAUUUUUCAAAAACUGUCUCCAUAAGUUAUUUCAUUACAUAACAUAAAUGUCGUUAGUUAGCAUUCUACGACAUCAAAUAACUGUAAUAUUUUAUUUUAUGACAAUAAAUAACUAUCAUCAUUUAUGUAUUAACGACAGUUAAAUAAAUGUCAUGAAUUCGUUUAUUGUGACAUGUUUUAAAUGUCACGAAUAUGUCAAUUGCGACAAUUUUUUUUAAAAAAAUGUCAUUGUUUUGCUACUGAUGACAUUAUUUUUCUGUCAAAGAUAGGACAAUCGUGACAAUUAAUUUUGUAAAAAAAACUGUCAUUGUUUUCGUAUUCACAACAAUUAAUAACUGUUAAAAAUUCAUAUAUUACGACAUGUUUUUCCUGUUGCAAAUUACUCGAUUAGUACAGUUUUUUCCUGUUCUCCUUGCCACUCCGCCAUUACACGAACCAUUUGAAUGACAAUAAUGUAGCUGACAAUGACAAUUUUGAAUUUAUAAUAUUGACACCCAUAUAGAAAAAAUUAGCCAACAAUUUAAUAUAUAUACGCUAUAAUACAAUUUAUAAUAUUCGUACAUUUCCAAUCAAGUUCCAACAAUUUACAAGUACAGAAUCUCAGCCCUUAAUCAAAAAAUAUUUUAAAUAGCAUCAGAAUACAUAUAACAAGAUUUUCUGCUAAAGCAUAAACGACCAACCGAGAAUGUUUGUCUCUGAAAAUGUUCUUUGAAAGUAAACUCAUGAAGUUGUCGACUCCAGUUGAACCUACGAAGACAACAUGAAUAUAAGCAUCCAUCAUAGAACAAGAGAGUACAACUCUUAUAGAAAAUUUCAACAUUGAGAAUUACCUAUCACUACAUACGUCGAUAAGAUAAACAACUACAUAGCAGAGCACACAUGUAGAAUAACAACAUCAACUUAACAUCCACUUGGUCUACCAUAUUGGAACUUUUUACAAAUUACAACUCUUGUAUCAUUACUCUUUAGAAAACUUAGCUGGAUAUAAAUAAGUAAUCAACAAGAAAAUUCUUGAAUAAGUAAUCAUAAGUAAUAAUCGAGAUGAAUGAAACUUAAGAAUCCAUUAGUAGUUCACUGUCACUAAGGUUGGAAGAAACGUUAUCCAACAAGAACCAAAAAGUUUCCAUCUUAAGGAGUCAAACACUUUCAAAUCUACAAAUAUCAGAAAGAAGACAGUUUUCAUGUGCAAUCCACUUCAGUUAAUGAAGCCAAGAAAUAUUAAGGUACUAGGAAAAUGAAACUAGAACAACUUGUAUCAUUUAUGGCUUGACAGAAUUUAAAGGUCUCCUAGUUUCUUAUAAAAAAAAGCUCUACCAAUGAGUACCGACAUAAAAUCCAUGACAAUUUACACAAGUACCAAUUUAGCAAUAGCAAUAAGUACAGACAUAACACCCAUGGCAAUUUACACAAGUAGCAAUAGUCAACCACUAUAAGCAUACUAUUCAUGAUAAAAAAACAAAAUUGUAGCAUCCUAGCAGGUAUAUUGUUGGUAUCGAUAGGUUGUUUUCAAGUAUUUAUCUUGUUUCGUAAAGCAAAAAUUCAAUAGUUUGUUUUAGCAUAUAUAACCACUAAAAUUGAAUAAUGACAAAUCAUCAAAGAGUGAAAAAUGGAAAGCCAAUAACUUCAACAAACUAAAGUUGUAAGAGUAUAUACUUUGAAAUAAAUAUUACCUGUUAACUAUAUCGUUAGAUUGUUCUUAUCUUCUUUAUAUGUUAGAGGUAUCCUCUUGAGUUGCUAGCCUUCAUAAGAUAUAUACCUUUAUUAUCUGACGUGCUCCAUUUCUAUUGGAUGCUUGCCAAUUCUCUAUGAUCAUACAUCUGAAGGCUGAAUCACAUUUUCAUCAUGUAAUCGGACUUUAGUGAUUGGAUUUGGACGUUUAAGAUCAUGCAAAAUAAGAAGCACAAAUGUAGAUAUGCAACGUAAUAUGUUUACAAUAAGAAAACUAAAACUUCUAAAUGAAUUCUGAAUCUUUAUACACCCCGAGUAUGAUGACAUGCACAAAAUUCUUCUCCUAGAUUCAAUGUAUAGAGAUGAAUAUUGUUUAUGGAUACCUUACUAUGAUUUCCUUACAAUGUACAAUCUACUUGAAGGUAGUUGAGGUUCUAAAGUACCUAAAUACACCGUUCCUACAAAUUGGAACCGAUAGUCUGUACGAGAUAAAAAAUAUCUAAUAUAAGAACUUUUGUGGUUAGCUUUUUGAACAUCUUAACUUUUAACAAGUCAAUAAGAAAUGGAAACAAGAGCAUACCAUUACAGAAAAUCAAGCACAUUUCAGCUUUAAAAUUAUUGUAAACAUAUAUGGUUUAAUUUAAAAUUAGAAACAAUUGAAAAUCUUCUUAGGAGCAGUUCCAGUAGCUCUGUGUUUGGCAGCAAUUUCCUCUGCCUUUGCCUUUAGCUUUUCUUCUCCAUGCUUUGCUUCAAUUAACAACCUUAUUUUCUUAUGUUGUUUUGUGUAUCAAUGCUAUUUUGUUCUUCAUUUUCUCUAUAUACUCACCCUUCUUCUUCUCAAAUUUUUCAUGCUCUCAUUACAAAAUCAAUCCAAAUGAAAUCGACAAAAAAGAAAAAAAAAACAUAGUUGUAAAGAGCAGUUCCGUCAAUGAAGAGAAAUAUCGAAUUACAGAUUUUGGAAUCUUCACUGAGGUUGUGAGUUUAUAUUUAAUGAAUUUUUCUAAAAUCUAGAACUAAAAUCGUAAAUAGCAUCUACAUACUAUACAAAUAAAACUUAAACACAUUACAUAUAUUUUGUUUUCUAAUUACCUCAAUUUGUUUUAGUUCAGCCUCAAGAGCUGCUUUCUUGUUGUUCUCCCAUGACCCAAUGCGUUCCAUCCAGAAAAACACAUAUAUAAAGCAAAUAAUAGCAUCAAAGGGGUUAAAUUCCAUUGAGCUCCCUAUUCAACUCUUCAGUAUCAAUCAGAAUUUUAGAAUUAUUAACCCAAGGGCUGAGAAAUAUAAAAUAAAUUUGGAAACAAAAGAAAAUUCCAUUGAGCUCUUUAAGGAGGAAGCAAAAGAUUGUAUUCUUUUGAAAUUAACUUUCUCAAAAGAAGCAACAAUCUCUUAUCACAAACUAGUAACAUAGAUUCCCCACUGCAAAUAGGAGAAAAGAACUAACAUCAACAAAGUAGAUAGAAUUUUGGACAAAGAGUAACAUAACAUGAAGUUAGGAACAUGCAGUAAACAAAAUCUCAUGAAGAUUAAGCACAUCAAUACCCACAACUAGAUCCUAAAAAAAAUAAGAAUCUGAAACUAGAUCCUGAAUAAUAGCAUAUCUUAUAAUCCAAUGAACACCAAUAAUUAUCCUACUGUGCAAACAUGGAAAUUACUUAUGUAGAUUGGAACCCACAAUUUUCAAUUUGAAAAUCUACUUCCUUGAACCAAUGAAAUCAAUUAGUUCAAAGGAGUAACAAACUACAAACAAGUUAGCAUUAAUGAACCGUAUCUACAUUAAAAUAAUAUAAAUAAAAGACAAAUUCACUCUCCCCUUUCUCUACUCCACCCCACUAAGUCUAUAUAUUUGUAAUUUACCCACUCACUCAAAACAACAUUCAAGGAACAAAUCAAGUGAAAGAAAACCUUUUCCAAUUCCUUGCCAUAAAUCUACUAAAUAAUGCAAAUUAACUAUAAAAAAUUCAGAAAUCAAUGAAUAGGUAAUGAUAUUUUUACGAAAAUAAUAAAGAAUACUUGUUGUCAUAUAAUCUUAAAAAUUAAUGAUACGCACAGAAGAAGUAUUGAAUAACAUAAUUCAAGGAUUGUUGUGUGACUCAAACAUCCUAUAUCGGGACAAACACAAUCACACAACAUCAUUAGCAUUUCAAUACAUUCAUAAAUAAUAAUAUAUCGUUUAUCUGUUUCUUUCCUUCAUACAAUCCUAAAGAGUUUACAACUCUUUUUUUAAAUAUCUCAUUCGUCUUUUGAUAUACGCUCAUCUUGAAAAUCCCCUCUCUCCAAAAAAAAAAAAAAAAAGGACAGAUUUCAUUCUCCAAUCUCUCCAUCCAUUUCCACACCCACCCUAAUAUUUAAUAUUUACAAAGAAUCUUAUUAAAAAAAAAAAACUUAGCAUGUUUUUCCAAAAUGCCACUUAAACUAGUGGCAUCAUUGAUCAUUAAUCUAUCGAUUGAGAGUGACAGAAACAUCGAUAGAGAGCUCUAACAAGAGAAUAUUAACAUCACCAUGCUAACCUUUUGAGUGGCUAAGAAAAAAUUGAGAUGAAAUUCUUCAAGACUUGAACUUCUCAAUGUACUGUAACCCAACUUCGACUGAAUCUACACGUAAACAUUAAGUCAUCAGAACUUGAAUGUCAUCAACACACAAAAAAAAUUCAUGCUUCUUGUAUUCUACAAGAUACUCUUAUUACUUCAUUGGUUGUCUUCAAACAUUAUCACUUUCAAUAAAAACAACCAAAGUCCAUAAACAGAUUGUAUGUUAUUAUUGGAAAACAAAAUAAUUGAAAACAUAGGACCAUUUUCAAACCAUUAAGCAAUCACUAUAGGACCAACCAUCAAUAAAAACAUAUUUACAAAUAUGUAAAGUAGAUCAGAUACGUCCAAAACUAAAGGACUAAAUGAGUUAACGUCCAGAAAAAAAAAAUCCAGACAUGCAUAUACACACCAAAUGCUUACAAAAUCAAUAUAACAAUCUUCCAAAGUACCCUACCCAGAAUAAUAAUCUCGUGACAAAUAAGUGUCCUUAAGAGGACCAAAUUGCACAAAUAAUCCCGUAGGUCGUCUGACCUGCAAAAUACAUACCGAUGAAGAAGUUGAUCAACUUAAUAGAGAACAAAACCAAACACAAUCUCCUUUUUCCCUUUGUCUUCUCAACAAAAUAAAACGUUUCUUAGAAUUUUCCUAAUUCAAACGAACGAAAAUCAAUUAAAAAUCAACUAAAUGCUUCAUUGAGGCAUUUCAUCAAACACAUUGUAAUCAAACAUAUCGUAAGCAACCAAAAUGCUUCAUCACAUAACCAACCAUAAAGAAAAAAUGUGAUUCACAUUAGAAAAAUGAUCGUAAACAACAAUAUUGAAUAUGAUGAAUAUGAUGGUAGACAAAACAAACACAUAUCUCCUAUAAAAUCAAAACUAUGAGGGAUGUUUUUCAUAAAAAGAACCAUCAAUAUAUCACAUUGACUCAUUCGCAUGGAAUCCAACAUAUAGGAGAUGGGUUAUGAAGCCAUUGGAGAGUAAAUUGCAUUCAACAAACAACCAAAGACAAAGUGGAAUUGGAAAUCAAAAUUUCAUCCAUUUCGCAAUUUGGGAUUUAGGCAAUGAGAAUUCCCAUCAAACAUUAAAAAAUUUGCCAACCUAUUUUUUAUCCAAAACUUCUCUAAAACCUUUAAUUUAACACAAUUCAAACCUAGGCAUAAUGAAAUUUCAGAUAUUAAAACCUAAUUUUCAGCAAUUUGCAGUGAAUUUCGAAAGGACAGAAUUUUUUUUGAUACUUACUGGAAAUUCCCCAAAAUGUAAUUAACAUUUGCUGGACAACACGAUAAAAUCCUUCAAAACCUGAAUCUAAUGUAAAAAUAGGAUGAAGUCGAAAUGGAGCCACGGACGCGUGACGGGAAAAGAAAACCUGAGAGUGAGGGAGAAGACGCCGAUGAGAGGUGGUAGCGGUGCGUUUGGCUGGUCAGCGCUCAGUCGCAGAAGCCACCGACGCUGGCAGUGGAGAGAUUGAGAAAGAUUGCAGUGAGGGGGAGGGUUUUCGAAAUUUAGGGGCUUUCCUUUACUUUCUUUCUUUCCAUUCUUUUAACUUAAAACAAAUAAAUUUUAUUUUAUUAUUACUAUUUAAUGCAGUUAAAAAAUGUCAUAGAUUUAUGACAUUAAAAAACUGUCAUAAAUUUGGCCAAUCCGAAAAUUUCCAUCUUUUCCCGCCAAAAAUGGGCAUUUUGACAAUUUGUGACAGUUUUUUUGUUCUUCUUAUAAUUUGGAUUGUAUACAAAUGUCAUAGAAUGUCAUUUUUCUUGUAGUGCAAUUUGUGGGGUCUAAUUGAAUUUCUUUAACUUCAAAUUUUGCUUCAAUCCUUCUAUUUUAGUAUUUUUAGAAUACUUAAUUUUUGGCAUUGGUGUUAAUUUUGCUUUAUUUUUGUCUUUACACUCUUAAAUUAAUUAACUUUUGGCAUUUCGACUUCUUCGCUAUAUAAAGGUUAGUACUUACUUUUAUAUACUCAAGACUCUUUCUUAUUUUAAGUUUUUCCAUUUUAUUUUGAUUUUUAAUUACAUGUUCUUUUGAAAAUUGUUUGUUUAUCUAUUAAUGUUGAGAAUAUCAUAAAAUGUUCUCUACAUUUUUUAUUAUUGAAAUUUUGGGGUUCUUUUUUUUUUUUUUUUUUUUUUGCUAUUUUCACUAUUUUCACUUUGCGGGAGAACAAAAAGGUAGAAGUAAAACAUUUUAUGUUUUAUUUUAUAUUUUACUAAAAAUACUUUUUAGCAAGAGUAAUACGUAAAUGUAAAAAUACUUUUUAGCAAGUGUAAUAUGUAAACUCCACCAUUUGCGUAUGGAAGGUGUUUGUGAAUAUGCCUGAGAGAUGUGGACUGUGGCUUUGUUUUAUACAAUUUGUUUUAAGCAUAUUUUGACUGUUGAACUGGAAAUGGACUUUUAGAAUCCAACCCAUUUGCUUUAAUUGCACAAAUCUCUAGUGGAAGGAUUUGGCUGCAACUCAUGCAGUCUAAAUAAUGGUUUGUUAUUAUUGUUAGCCUAUUGGUACAAUUCUAGUGUAAUUAUUAGAAACUUCCUGCCUUGAGUUUGGUAUUUACUCACUAACUUUUCAUGGUUGAAUUUUCAGAUCUAUUUGAACUAUCAACCCGAAUUUGGAACUUCAAUGUUGGGGCUUUGGUGAAAGAAAAUGCUUGAACCCAAAUUUGAAUUGAAUUGUAUAUUUAUUAAUCUCUAAAAAGUUUGGUAGUGUGACCUACAACAGUUUGACAACGAUUUUAAGGAUUAAGAAAAUGUUGGAGUUUGAAAGGAAGAAAUCAAAAUUUCCAAGAAACAAGCAAACAUAGUAAAGAAGAAAAUGGGAAAUGGUGAAAUGAACGUGUUGCACUAAAAUCCAAGUUUUAACUGUUUCCAUGUCUUUGCUGCCUUCUCAUAUUUCAAAGGGAGAGAGUUGGUUUCUUGUUUUUGUUAUUAUUUUUUUCCAUAUUGUUUUGUUUUAUGUUGAGCAAUUAAAUUGAAAUAGCAUUCAAGUAUGUUAAUUGAAAAAUAUUGAUCAUUAUUAUUUAAUUCUUGUUUUUUGUUUACUAUGAUUGUGGAGUUCUAUUCUCUAUUAUUACGCAAGGACUACUCUGGUCAAUUACUGUUCUAUAUCUUUGCUGAAGACAUGAUACUAGUAAUGGUGGCUUGAACAUUUGACAUGAGAAUGAUUACAACACUGCCUCAUGGAAAAUCUUCACGUAAGUUCUUCUCUUCAAUAGUUAAAUAUCUUAUAAGACAAUAAACAUAAAUUGCAUAUUUUCUGAGAUAAGAUGAUAGAUACAUGUCAAAUCUUUCCUUGGUUAUUGAACCUUGGUUAAUGAACACAUGGAUGAGUGGGUAUGGCUGAGAGAGUCCAAGAUAUAAUGAAUACUUUAGUGAGUCAUGUUGGAUUGCCAGCCGAAGCCAUUUUUUUCUAGGAUUUUCUGGUGAAUAAGUUGCAUUUCUGCAGAACGAAGAAUUAUAACCAUACACAAAAUCUAAUCAUGAACCGAUAAAACUGGUGGUGGAAAUCCAGUUUUUUCAGUUGCAUUUAAAGACACAGAUUUCUACUCAGGAAGAAAAUGGUAUGUAUAAGGGGACAUUUAGUGGCAUAUGUGAAUUAAAAGACAAUCUUGUUUGUUUUCUAUUUUGAUCUCAGUAUUUACAUUGCUCAAAAAUUGGAAACUUGACUUCAUUGAAAUAGGAAAUUGAAUUUGUCACUUUUGGUUAGUGUUCUUGCACUGCAGCUUUGUUGAGCAGUAUCCAAAUAAAGUUGUUUGUGUGAAGUGAAAAUAAGGAUUAUUGUGAAUUAGUUUAUGGUGUGCAACCAUUGAAAUUGACAAGGAAGACCUGAGAUAUUUAAUAUGGAAAUUACGUACCUUAUUUAAUAUCUGUUUGAUAACCUUUUGUUCUUAUUUUCUCACAACUUUUGGUGAACUUUUCACCUUCCUUGAAAAUACAUCUGAAUCCUAAGCCAUAUUAAAAAAAAAAAAGAAACACAAAUGAAGUUUGUAAAAACUACCUAUUUAGCUUUCUCACUUUUGACAUGCUUUUUGUCCUUUUGAAAACGUUUUCUUUAUUAAAAGAAGUUGGUGAAUUACACAUAGUGAAAGUAGUGUUUAUAAGCUUAAUCUAACUUUUCUUGACAAGGAAAAAAUGUCAUAAUAUACGAAUUUGUGACAUUUUGUUACUGUCGUCAAUAUCAAAAUAAUGACAAUUUAAUUUUAUAAAAACUGUCAUGAUUGGCCGAUCCUUGACAAGGAAAAAAUGUCCUAAUAUACGAAUUCCUUACAUUAUUGUAACUGUCGUCAAUAUAAAAAAGAUGAUAUUUAUUUUUAAAAAAACUAUCACGAUUGACAUAUUCUUGAAAUAUAAAAAAUGUCAUAAUGAACGAAUUCGGGACAUUUUUGUAACUGUCGUUAAUAUGCAAAUGAUAAUAGUUAUUUGUUGUCUAAAAUAAAAUAUGAUAGUUAUUUGUUGUCAUAAAAUAGUAAUUAUUAACAUUUAUUUUCUGUUAUGAAAAAAAUUAUUGUGACAGUAUUUUCAAACUGUCAUGGAAGGACUUUCCACAACAGGGGAUACUACGACUGUAAAUAACUAUCACAGAUUUUGUUCACGACAGAAAAUAACUGUCGUAGUAGACCAUUUUUGUUGUAGUGCUUUUUCAUGAAGAAUUCAGGAACUAAAAAUGACGAGAAGUAGGUUAAAUUUCAGGAUCAAAAUUGAAAGUAAGCAAAAAGAUGUGAGUUUGCUUUAUCGUGUUUCGAUCGAAUUGUGUGUUAAUCUAUCAGGAAUCUCAUUUCAAUUUCUUCAACUUAGUUGUAGAAGGUUCCAAAAUGAAGAGUUUGAUAUAAAAUACAUAAUUUUCUAUUUAAGUAUUGAAGAACUUAUGACUAGUUGAAUUUAACCUUCUAAAGUUGAAACUUACUGGAAAAGUAUGGAAUUAAAGACCACUAAGAUUGAUUUAUGUUGGUUGUUUAUGGUGUUAAGACUUUUAAGUUGAAGCUAAGCGUUCAAAAAGUAUAAUUUUAGCCUAAAUUAAAAUAUGUAGGGUUUGAUAUAAAUUAAAGAUGAAAAUGAGAAUUUAAGCCUUUAUAAAAUAAAUAGCUUAAAUUAUAGUAACGAAAUUGGGGUAAGCGUAUAAUCCUCGCAGAACGAGUUCUGUUUUUUACUAUGAAUGGUUACUUUCAAACAUUUGAUACGAAAAUUGUUUACUUUGGUUUUAUCGAUGAGGACGUUUGGUUUGUUUAUUAAGAAAACUCUGUUUUAGCUUUAAAUUGCUGGAAAAAGUAUGAAACAUAAUUAUAGAUGUUGGUUUCCAAACCGCAAAACCAAUGUACUAAGGUGAUUUUACUCGUAGGCUACGUAAAUGUAUUUUCGUAGUGUCACCUAUGGUUGUCAGGAGGUUCUGGGGCUGAAAGAGGUCGUGACCGAAGAUCCGAGAACCUGAGCCUAGGUGAGGAUAUGGAGGGAGAAUUGAGAUAUGGCUUCGGGCCUAUUAUAACCCAUGGUGGGUGUCUUUUUUACACAAAGGAGCGGGUUCAUGUUGUUACUGUGGUAAGCUAAUAAUGCGUGGACUCCGUUUGGGCACGUGUUUCCUUGUGGUUAUGGAUCACAUGUGAGCUAUUCUGGGUCGUGUGUUUAGUAUGCUAUCGUGGUCGAAUUAGAUGGAUGUUACUAUUGUGGCGGGUACUAAAUAUGCGUGACCCAGUUGUGGCUGCAUGAUUCCUUGAUCAUGUGCGUGCUACUCUUGGCCGUAUGUUUAGACGUCUUUCCAUGAUCGGAUUGGCUACAGGUUGGUUGGUUGGUUGAUUGGGGAAAAUGUGAUUAUAAUGUUUUAUUUAAUACAUUAUUUAUCGAUGCGUAUUUACACAUCUUAUGAAGCAUAUUUUUACGUGUAUUUGUAUCAAAUUACUUGCUACUCACUAAGCAUUCGGCUUAUUUUUUCAAUAUUUUCUCUCCCUUCCCAAGUAACAACCCAGGACCAAGCUUUGUUUCAGCUUAGUCGUUCUUGUAGAUCUUCAAUUUCUUUUUUUUUUUUUUUUUGUUUGUGUGUAUAGUUUAAACUUUUGUAAUUCAUCACUGGGUGGUUAGUCUCAUCUAGAGAGACAAUGUGGACUUGUGUUUUGGAAGAUCCCUAAUUAGUUUGAAUACUUAUGUAUGUAAUACGUAGUUUGCACCUUAUAUUGUACUUGAAGUUUUGAUUCGAUGUGAAUGUGUGUGGUGAGACACACUAGUUGUAUGUAGUAUCUGAAUUCCGUUUCAAAUUUUAUAGAAGUAGAAAUUACUACAUUUUCAGGUGUUGUUCCCUCAUAUUUUAUGGGAGGUUCUGUCAACAUUAUUAUACUUUACUCUUGAAAAGGGUGUGUUAUUAAUCUUACGUUUUCAAAGCAUGUUUUAACGAGUAGGCUGACACCAGCAUCUUUUUAAAGAGGGAAGUUUUAGAACGGGGAGUGAAAGCUUGUUUCUAAAUACACUAUAUAUAUGCAUGGACAUAUAAUAUUUAUAAUAGUAAGUAUUAUUAUUAUUAUUAUUAGCUUAUUAUGCUCAAUACUUCAAGGGAAGUGACAAGAAAUGAAUCAGACAUCUAAAGUUGUGAUCGAAUUGGAUGCAAUAAAAGUUGCUUUAUAGAGGAGGUAGGGGAUUAUCGUUAUGAUAUCACUAAACAUUACUUUGUGGAUGGAACAUAAUAGAGGGGGAGGCGGUGGGAUGACCAUUGGGGGAUUAUCAACGAUGUUCUAUUUUAAAGGUGAAUGUCAUGUGGUGGAGGAGGGGGAAUAACCAUUUGAGGGCCGCCAACAUCAGAAUCAAAAUGAUGGUGUGGUGGAGGGAGUGGAAUGAUCAUUUGCAGGCCACCUAUGUCAGAAUCAAGAUGAUGGUGUGGAGGAGGGGGUGGAUGACCAGUUGAGGCCCGCCAACAUCAGAUUGUGGAUGUUUGUGCGGUGGAGGUGGUGGAUGACCAUUUGAGGGCCACCAACGUCAGAAUCAAGAUGAUGGUGUGGAUGAGGGGUGGAAUGACCAUUUGAGGCCGCCAACAUCAGAUUGUGGAUGUUUGUGCGGAGGAGGUGGUGGAAUGACCAUUUGAGGGCCACCAACAUCAGAAUCAAGAUGAUGGUGUAUAGGAGGGGGUGGAAUGACCAUUUGAGGACCGCCAACAUCAGAUUGUGGUUGUUUGUGCGGAGGUGGUGGGAUGACCAUUUGAGGGCCACCAACGUCCGAAUUAAGAUGAUGGUGUGGUGGAGGGGGUGAAAUGACCAUUUGAGGUCCGCCAACAUCAAAUUGUGGGUCAACAUGAAGCAACACUGUAAAUACACAAACAAAGAAUUAGAAUACAUGCAUACGUGAUAUAUGUAUAUGUAUAUAUAUACAAACGGAAAAUAAUAUUCUUGUAUACGUACCACGACAAGGUGACAUUGUGGCUAUGGAUAAAAGCGAUAGAAAAAGAAAGAUAAAUUCUUUGUGUUUUCUCCAUAUUGGUCACUAGAAAAUGGAGAAUAGAAGAUUAAUCUUGUGGAAAUGGAUGGAGGAACGAAGGGUUUAUAUAAGAUGGCUUUGUGGGCCAAAACAAGAAUUAUAGUUUAAUCAUAAUCGGUACGCAACUCAAUAAAAUUGAAAUUGAUAAAGUUAUACCCAAGCAGUUUUAAUGGUCCAUUUUAAUGCCUAAAACUCAACAAUCUUAACUUUCAUCUAAAAACAUCCAAUAUCGUGCUUAAGAGAAUUUAAUUACUACUUAGAGAAAUUAAAUGAGAAUAACAAAAAGAAGUUAUCCGUGAAAAAAAUAAAUUUCAUAUGCUCGUAUUACCAUAAAUCUUCCAACAAUAACCUUCUGUAAAAAAAAACAACAAAAUCUUAGUUAAUGAUGGUAGUUAUAACAGUUUAUGUCAAUGGAUAUCAGUGCAUUUUGAGAACUAAAAAAUCCAUCGUCCAAUUCCUCCGCCUCUCCAAUUUGUCCUAAAAACAAUUUUAAAAGUAAAAAGUAAAUUUUUGGGAACUUUUAAUCAAAAAAAAAUAAAAAAAGAAACAAAGGAAAAAGGAAAAAAGAAAAGAUUGUAUGAAUUAAUUAUUGAUGGUUGUCUUAAAACCAUCGAAACAAGCAAUACUCUACAAAGAAGUAAAUUUUAUCGCUCGUAGGUCUAUGGCUUGAAUCUCUCAUCUUCUAUUGAUAUUGAAAAAAUGAAAUUUAUUAACCAAAUUACUAUUAGGAUAUAUUUUAUCUAACUUAAUUAGGUUGUUAUAUAAUUUUAACUUGUGUUGUUGAAUGAGAAGUUUUUUACUAAUCGCAAAUUGCCCCAUCAUUUCUUAGACUAGAAGAUAUAAUGCUAAGAAAGUUAGCAAAAGAGGUAAAAUUGAACCAAGGAACGAACUAUAGCUUAAGGGGUGAUGGUGCCUUGAUGAAAUAUGAUAGGUUGUGUGUCCCUAGAAACCAAGGCAUAAAAGAUCAAAUUUUAGAGGAAGCAUAUAGUUCUGCAUAUGCAAUUCAUUCUGGCAGUACAAAGAUGUAUAGAACUUUAAUUUAUUGGACCUUAUGAGAUAUUAGAACGUAUUGGGCUUGCAGCGUACAAUAUGGUAUUGCCUAUGGAACUUUCGAGGAUUUGUGAUGUGUUUCAUGUGCGAUGUAGCGUAAGUACGUUUCUGAUCCAUCUCAUAUUCUUGAAACACAACCAGUUCAUUUGAAAGAGAACUUGUCUUACAAAGAGGAGCCAACACAAAUUCUUGAUAAGAAAGAGCUGGUGCUAAGGAACUAAGUCAUACCGUUAGUUAAAGUUCUUUGGGGGAACCAUAUUUAUGAAGAAGCAACAUGGGAGACUGAGCAGGCAAUGAAGGCUCAAUACCCACAGCGUUCCACAUCAUCACCAUGAUCGAAUUUCAAGGACGAAAUUAUUAAAAAGAAGAUAGUAACGUGUAAGCCCUCGUUCUUUUCUCCUUUUAUUUAUUAAUAUUUUUAAGUUUGAAAAACAAGUUUAAAUCUAAUAGUUAAUGUCUAAAGGUUGAAUUGUUUUAAUAAGGUAAAUUGGUUUUAAUAAGAAAGUUUGGAACAAAUUUAGGUUGGUUUAAGGCUUCGACUUUUUGAGGUGUUGAAAAGAGUAAGGUAGGGGCAAAAAAUGAGUUUAUUUUGAAAGUGAGGGGUAUUUUUGUCUAUAUCUAUUAUUAGUAUUUUUCUUAUAUGAAGCAAUUAAAAGAAAAAGAGGAGGGGAACGUCUACAAGAGGUCUUGAGUGCACGCCCUCCCCUUCCUUCGAGUUGUUCCCUCUCUCCCACCUUGUUCUCUUUCCUUGGUUUGCCGCCAUACCUGCCGCUCGUCCUCACGUUUCAGGACAGCCACAAACCGCGUCGUUCAUCUCCUUCGCGUCGUUUGGUGUCGCUUUGAAGCCUUGUCUCCAUCUAAUGACGCGUCACUCGAUUCACUAGACGACGACGUGCACGCCGGCUAGCAAAGCCCUACCACAUCGCCCUUAACACAGUCGUAAGUCGGUUCUUCAACACCUCUCCUAUAGCCGUCAUGCGUGGUAGCUGACUAGAGGCCAACCGAAUCUUUGUCCAUCUCCAUUCUUCUUUCAGUUCCUACUCUUAGAGUAAGAUUUUUAUGGUUCGGGGUUGUUUUCUUUAGGCGAUUGUGAAUACCUAUUAAGUUUAGACAUAAACUUAACUUUUUCCACAACAUUUUGGAUGUUAGAUUUGAUUAUUAUAGGAGUUGGAGCUGUUGUCCAGCCGUUUAAGAACCCAAAAUCGAGUGUUUUGACACAACUUUGGUAAAUUUCUAAACUUCUUGGAGUCAAUCUUAAAUACCUGUUUGAUUCUAGUGCUAUCUUUAAGUAACCAAUGAUGGUGGACGGUUGAUUUGAACUAAGAAGGUACUUAGGAUGUUGCCCAUUGAAAUCAAGGGUACUAUGUUGAGUUCUUGGUAACAUUUGGAAUAGUUUCCACAAAUCAUCUCUGGUUUUUAUAGUGGUUUGAGGUACACAAGAAGAAUUAAAAUAUACAAUUUGAUUCGUUUGAAAGUUCACUCAAUUUCUAACAAGUUUCAUGAAUAAAAUUUGAGCAAAUUCUGAGGCUAAGUGAAUGAUUUUUGAAGUAGAAAAUAGACCAUAGACUUUUCACGUAAUUCCAAGAAGCCUCUGGUUUUUCGAGUAUCCAAUAAUGUAUAGGUGGAAUUAAAAGCUCUAUUUGGUAUGGUUAGAAAGCUUGUUAAAUUUCCUACAACCACUACAACAAAAUCUAUCUACUACAACAGUUGUUUACAUUAGAAAAUGGAAGGGAGGAAAAAAAAACUGUCACAAAAGGUAAAAAUACCCGUCAUUUGUGGGAAAAGGCGAAAUUUUUCAGAUAGCAUUUUUUGCGACAGUUAUUUGAUGUCGUAGAAGAUACAUCAAAUAAUUUAUUUAAUUUAUUAAAAUUCAAUUCAAUUUAAAUGAAAAGUAAAGGGUUUUAAGGCUUUUCCCCCAAAUAAAAAUUUCCCCAAAUUAAAAACCCUCAUUCCUCUCGCAAAUAAGCCAUCUCAAAACGCGAAGAAGACCAUCUUUGGAUGACGCCCGUUCCCAUCACCACCACCGCCUUCUCAUUCCCGUCUCCUCACUCUAUUACUAUCGCAACCUCCUUUAUCGAACGACAAACCUCCUCUAUGAUAACCUGUUUAAUCUGUGCCUGUCAUCUCCAAUCCACCGAAAUCUCUUCAACAUUCAAACCACGACCGUCACCUCCUCUGUCGGUAAGUCAUUUGUUCCUUUUCUCUUUCUCUCUCUUCGCAAAGUUGUUCUCUUGUCACUACUUCCCUUAACUCCAUGAGUCCUGGGUAGGGUCUUAAAUUUUCAACUUCGUUUGAAUUUCCACUUUUGCGCAAACACCCCUAUGUGAUGUAUGUGAAAUAAAUGUUGGAUUUAUCUUUAACUUAAAUUAGACCAAAAAAUGUUAAGACUUGAAGCUGAAAGAAGCAAGACAAAAAGGGAGAAGGUCCUGAAAAUGUCCUUCAUGUGUUUAGGUUUAUGAGAUGUUUAUUUAAGGAAAUUUUGAUUUAAGAUAUAUUCUUUUAUUAUAUGACACCUCCCCUUGUCUUAAUUUUAUAUAAUACUAUUUGGUGAUGUGUUUUGUUUGUUUUUCUACUGUGCAUUUUUUCAUGAGAAGAUUGUUCUUUGGUGUUUAGGGGAGCCUAAUAACUUCAUCCUUAGCUGAGCAAGAGUUCUCUAACUCUAACUUAGGAGGAGCCUAAAGGUAAGUAUUUGUUGAUGGUAGUAGACACAGUAGACCUUUAUUUAUCAACACUACAAGAAAAAUGGUCUACGACGACAGUUAUUUAUUGUCGUGAACAAAAUCCAUGACAAUUAUUUUCAGUGAUAGAAGCGGGAGUUAUGGAAAGUCCUUCCAUGACAUUUUUCAAAAACUGUCUCCAUAAGUUAUUUCAUUACAUAACAUAAAUGUCGUUAGUUAGCAUUCUACGACAUCAAAUAACUGUAAUAUUUUAUUUUAUGACAAUAAAUAACUAUCAUCAUUUAUGUAUUAACGACAGUUAAAUAAAUGUCAUGAAUUCGUUUAUUGUGACAUGUUUUAAAUGUCACGAAUAUGUCAAUUGCGACAAUUUUUUUUAAAAAAUGUCAUUGUUUUGCUACUGAUGACAUUAUUUUUCUGUCAAAGAUAGGGCAAUCGUGACAAUUAAUUUUGUAAAAAAAACUGUCAUUGUUUUCGUAUUCACAACAAUUAAUAACUGUUAAAAAUUCAUAUAUUACGACAUGUUUUUCCUGUUGCAAAUUACUCGAUUAGUACAGUUUUUUCCUGUUCUCCUUGCCACUCCGCCAUUACACGAACCAUUUGAAUGACAAUAAUGUAGCUGACAAUGACAAUUUUGAAUUUAUAAUAUUGACACCCAUAUAGAAAAAAUUAGCCAACAAUUUAAUAUAUAUACGCUAUAAUACAAUUUAUAAUAUUCGUACAUUUCCAAUCAAGUUCCAACAAUUUACAAGUACAGAAUCUCAGCCCUUAAUCAAAAAAUAUUUUAAAUAGCAUCAGAAUACAUAUAACAAGAUUUUCUGCUAAAGCAUAAACGACCAACCGAGAAUGUUUGUCUCUGAAAAUGUUCUUUGAAAGUAAACUCAUGAAGUUGUCGACUCCAGUUGAACCUACGAAGACAACAUGAAUAUAAGCAUCCAUCAUAGAACAAGAGAGUACAACUCUUAUAGAAAAUUUCAACAUUGAGAAUUACCUAUCACUACAUACGUCGAUAAGAUAAACAACUACAUAGCAGAGCACACAUGUAGAAUAACAACAUCAACUUAACAUCCACUUGGUCUACCAUAUUGGAACUUUUUACAAAUUACAACUCUUGUAUCAUUACUCUUUAGAAAACUUAGCUGGAUAUAAAUAAGUAAUCAACAAGAAAAUUCUUGAAUAAGUAAUCAUAAGUAAUAAUCGAGAUGAAUGAAACUUAAGAAUCCAUUAGUAGUUCACUGUCACUAAGGUUGGAAGAAACGUUAUCCAACAAGAACCAAAAAGUUUCCAUCUUAAGGAGUCAAACACUUUCAAAUCUACAAAUAUCAGAAAGAAGACAGUUUUCAUGUGCAAUCCACUUCAGUUAAUGAAGCCAAGAAAUAUUAAGGUACUAGGAAAAUGAAACUAGAACAACUUGUAUCAUUUAUGGCUUGACAGAAUUUAAAGGUCUCCUAGUUUCUUAUAAAAAAAAGCUCUACCAAUGAGUACCGACAUAAAAUCCAUGACAAUUUACACAAGUACCAAUUUAGCAAUAGCAAUAAGUACAGACAUAACACCCAUGGCAAUUUACACAAGUAGCAAUAGUCAACCACUAUAAGCAUACUAUUCAUGAUAAAAAACAAAAUUGUAGCAUCCUAGCAGGUAUAUUGUUGGUAUCGAUAGGUUGUUUUCAAGUAUUUAUCUUGUUUCGUAAAGCAAAAUUCAAUAGUUUGUUUUAGCAUAUAUAACCACUAAAAUUGAAUAAUGACAAAUCAUCAAAGAGUGAAAAAUGGAAAGCCAAUAACUUCAACAAACUAAAGUUGUAAGAGUAUAUACUUUGAAAUAAAUAUUACCUGUUAACUAUAUCGUUAGAUUGUUCUUAUCUUCUUUAUAUGUUAGAGGUAUCCUCUUGAGUUGCUAGCCUUCAUAAGAUAUAUACCUUUAUUAUCUGACGUGCUCCAUUUCUAUUGGAUGCUUGCCAAUUCUCUAUGAUCAUACAUCUGAAGGCUGAAUCACAUUUUCAUCAUGUAAUCGGACUUUAGUGAUUGGAUUUGGACGUUUAAGAUCAUGCAAAAUAAGAAGCACAAAUGUAGAUAUGCAACGUAAUAUGUUUACAAUAAGAAAACUAAAACUUCUAAAUGAAUUCUGAAUCUUUAUACACCCCGAGUAUGAUGACAUGCACAAAAUUCUUCUCCUAGAUUCAAUGUAUAGAGAUGAAUAUUGUUUAUGGAUACCUUACUAUGAUUUCCUUACAAUGUACAAUCUACUUGAAGGUAGUUGAGGUUCUAAAGUACCUAAAUACACCGUUCCUACAAAUUGGAACCGAUAGUCUGUCAGAGAUAAAAAAUAUCUAAUAUAAGAACUUUUGUGGUUAGCUUUUUGAACAUCUUAACUUUUAACAAGUCAAUAAGAAAUGGAAACAAGAGCAUACCAUUACAGAAAAUCAAGCACAUUUCAGCUUUAAAAUUAUUGUAAACAUAUAUGGUUUAAUUUAAAAUUAGAAACAAUUGAAAAUCUUCUUAGGAGCAGUUCCAGUAGCUCUGUGUUUGGCAGCAAUUUCCUCUGCCUUUGCCUUUAGCUUUUCUUCUCCAUGCUUUGCUUCAAUUAACAACCUUAUUUUCUUAUGUUGUUUUGUGUAUCAAUGCUAUUUUGUUCUUCAUUUUCUCUAUAUACUCACCCUUCUUCUUCUCAAAUUUUUCAUGCUCUCAUUACAAAAUCAAUCCAAAUGAAAUCGACAAAAAAGAAAAAAAAACAUAGUUGUAAAGAGCAGUUCCGUCAAUGAAGAGAAAUAUCGAAUUACAGAUUUUGGAAUCUUCACUGAGGUUGUGAGUUUAUAUUUAAUGAAUUUUUCUAAAAUCUAGAACUAAAAUCGUAAAUAGCAUCUACAUACUAUACAAAUAAAACUUAAACACAUUACAUAUAUUUUGUUUUCUAAUUACCUCAAUUUGUUUUAGUUCAGCCUCAAGAGCUGCUUUCUUGUUGUUCUCCCAUGACCCAAUGCGUUCCAUCCAGAAAAACACAUAUAUAAAGCAAAUAAUAGCAUCAAAGGGGUUAAAUUCCAUUGAGCUCCCUAUUCAACUCUUCAGUAUCAAUCAGAAUUUUAGAAUUAUUAACCCAAGGGCUGAGAAAUAUAAAAUAAAUUUGGAAACAAAAGAAAAUUCCAUUGAGCUCUUUAAGGAGGAAGCAAAAGAUUGUAUUCUUUUGAAAUUAACUUUCUCAAAAGAAGCAACAAUCUCUUAUCACAAACUAGUAACAUAGAUUCCCCACUGCAAAUAGGAGAAAAGAACUAACAUCAACAAAGUAGAUAGAAUUUUGGACAAAGAGUAACAUAACAUGAAGUUAGGAACAUGCAGUAAACAAAAUCUCAUGAAGAUUAAGCACAUCAAUACCCACAACUAGAUCCUAAAAAAAAUAAGAAUCUGAAACUAGAUCCUGAAUAAUAGCAUAUCUUAUAAUCCAAUGAACACCAAUAAUUAUCCUACUUUGCAAACAUGGAAAUUACUUAUGUAGAUUGGAACCCACAAUUUUCAAUUUGAAAAUCUACUUCCUUGAACCAAUGAAAUCAAUUAGUUCAAAGGAGUAACAAACUACAAACAAGUUAGCAUUAAUGAACCAUAUCUACAUUAAAAUAAUAUAAAUAAAAGACAAAUUCACUCUCCCCUUUCUCUACUCCACCCCACUAAGUCUAUAUAUUUGUAAUUUACCCACUCACUCAAAACAUACCAAUACUGAGAAAAAACGUCACUAAAGGAAAUACCUCAACAACAUUCAAGGAACAAAUCAAGUGAAAGAAAACCUUUUCCAAUUCCUUGCCAUAAAUCUACUAAAUAAUGCAAAUUAACUAUAAAAAAUUCAGAAAUCAAUGAAUAGGUAAUGAUAUUUUACGAAAAUAAUAAAGAAUACUUGUUGUCAUAUAAUCUUAAAAAUUAAUGAUACGCACAGAAGAAGUAUUGAAUAACAUAAUUCAAGGCUUGUUGUGUGACUCAAACAUCCUAUAUCGGGACAAACACAAUCACACAACAUCAUUAGCAUUUCAAUACAUUCAUAAAUAAUAAUAUAUCGUUUAUCUGUUUCUUUCCUUCAUACAAUCCUAAAGAGUUUACAACUCUUUUUUUAAAUAUCUCAUUCGUCUUUUGAUAUACACUCAUCUUGAAAAUCCCCUCUCUCAAAAAAAAAAAAAAAAGGACAGAUUUCAUUCUCCAAUCUCUCUCAUCCAUCAUUUCCACACCCACCCCUAAUAUUUAAUAUUUACAAAGAAUCUUAUUAAAAAAAAAAACUUAGCAUGUUUUUCCAAAAUGCCACUUAAACUAGUGGCAUCAUUGAUCAUUAAUCUAUCGAUUGAGAGUGACAGAAACAUCGAUAGAGAGCUCUAACAAGAGAAUAUUAACAUCACCAUGCUAACCUUUUGAGUGGCUAAGAAAAAAUUGAGAUGAAAUUCUUCAAGACUUGAACUUCUCAAUGUACUGUAACCCAACUUCGACUGAAUCUACACGUAAACAUUAAGUCAUCAGAACUUGAAUGUCAUCAACACACAAAAAAAAUUCAUGCUUCUUGUAUUCUACAAGAUACUCUUAUUACUUCAUUGGUUGUCUUCAAACAUUAUCACUUUCAAUAAAAACAACCAAAGUCCAUAAACAGAUUGUAUGUUAUUAUUGGAAAACAAAAUAAUUGAAAACAUAGGACCAUUUUCAAACCAUUAAGCAAUCACUAUAGGACCAACCAUCAAUAAAAACAUAUAUUACAAAUAUGUAAAGUAGAUCAGAUACGUCCAAAACUAAAGGACUAAAUGAGUUAACGUCCAGAAAAAAAAAUCCAGACAUGCAUAUACACACCAAAUGCUUACAAAAUCAAUAUAACAAUCUUCCAAAGUACCCUACCUAGAAUAAAAAUCUCGUGACAAAUAAGUGUCCUUAAGAGGACCAAAUUGCACAAAUAAUCCCCGUAGGUCGUCUGACCUGCAAAAUACAUACCGAUGAAGAAGUUGAUCAACUUAAUAGAGAACAAAACCAAACACAAUCUCCUUUUUCCCUUUGUCUUCUCAACAAAAUAAAACGUUUCUUAGAAUUUUCCUAAUUCAAACGAACGAAAAUCAAUUAAAAAUCAACUAAAUGCUUCAUUGAGGCAUUUCAUCAAACACAUUGUAAUCAAACAUAUCGUAAGCAACCAAAAUGCUUCAUCACAUAACCAACCAUAAAGAAAAAAUGUGAUUCACAUUAGAAAAAUGAUCGUAAACAACAAUAUUGAAUAUGAUGAAUAUGAUGGUAGACAAAACAAACACAUAUCUCCUAUAAAAUCAAAACUAUGAGGGAUGUUUUUCAUAAAAAGAACCAUCAAUAUAUCUGUAACGACCCAACUUUUCUAAGUAAGUCGAGAUCGUUAAUUUUUAACAAAUAAAAGACUUUGAUUAAUAUAAAACAAAACGUAAGCAAUUUAAAAAAAAACAUCUUCAAGUCAGGCCUGAUUUUCAAAUAUUCCAAGAACUUAAAAAUAACACUAUUUACAAAUAAAAGUUUGUAAACUAACAUUUAGUACAUGUUAAACCUUAAAAGAAAUCAUAAGCGGAAGCAAAAUAACACAUUCCCUAUGGCAUUCACGCUUCCUUCCUGCCCCUCGCCGGUUUGCCACCUUUAUUUCCUUUGCCUGAAAAUUAAACAUAAGAAGGGUGAGUAUAACAAUACUCAGUAAGAGACCCUCUACUGGUCUCGUCAGGGGAAAUAAAUUGUUAAAGUUCUAUUGGGACACCCUGUACAGUCGCAGUCUUGUGAUCCCGUAGGAUACACAUUUCAGUCUAACGCCCCGAAGGACGUACAUAUCAGUCUAACGCCCCGAGGGACGUACAUAUCAGUCUAACGCCCCGAGGGACGUUCAUAUCAGUCUAACGCCCCGAGGGACGUUCAUAUCAGUCUAGUGUUCUGCAGAAACACAUAUCAGUCAAAUGCUCCCGAAGGUGCAAAAUAAAUUGGUGAUCCCGUGGGACACCUACAAGGUAAACAUCCCAAUACAACCUAACAAUUUAUCCCCUCAUUCCAUUCAACCCAUCUUUCAGUUACUUCAAAUCACAAAGUCCUUUCUUUCAACAUCCUAACAGUCAACUUAUUUUACUACAAUCAUCUGUCUGUCAAUAAUAUGCUAAUACAUCAGUCAAUCCACUAUACAAUCAAGUCAAUACACCCCUCAGUUCACCAGCACAAACCACAGUUCAGUAUAAUCCACACCCAACCGAAAUAAAUUCACUAGUUUACAUCCAAAUCUUUAUACAGCACAAUCUAUUAAUAUCAUCAUGUACACAUAAGCAUAAUUUCAGUCAUUCACAUGUAUACUUUCGGCAAUCCACAUCAAUUCACACAUCAAUGUAUAUAUAUAUGUUUCCAGUCAAAUACAACAUACACUAAACAUUUAGUCUGCAACCAAACAUGUACAUCUUAAUCAUCAUCCAUACAGU
rnacentral:lncRNA from 1 species